UUUUCAAAUCUUUCUUGUUUUCUUUCUGCUUCUCCCUCCUUGUUGUCCAAAAUUCUAAUUAUUUGAAAAUUAUGUUUUAGGUUAUGUAUGCCUUUGUAAUGCGGCCUGAGAGCUUGCCAAAGUCUUAUCAAGAAUUUAUUCAGAAGACGGGGCCAGUUUCCCAACCUGUAUACAAGGCUGUAAGGGAUUGCUGUAGAGGCCACCCUGUGGAUAUUGCCUCUCUAUCUGAUUAUUUGUUUGAGAGAACAAAAUCCAACUCUAUACGGUUGGAAGAGUAUCCAUCCAUAUUUCCUUGUUCGGUUAUUCAUCCAGACACGAAUUCUUGUUUAGCUCAUAAUGCACGGGCAACAUCAGCUACAUUUAGGAAAACAUUUCCGCUUUACUUUUCUUUGACGUUUGUACCAUUUGUUGUUCUCCGCCUACAGAAGGUAAAUUCUUCAAACUCAGCCUUUUAUUUUUCAUUUUUCACUAGGAUAACCCUUCUUUAGCAAUGAUUGUCUGAAGUGCUGCAUUUACCUAUUAGUUGCGCUGACCACGAUAGUGGAUUUAUUGCCAUCCAUGCACAUUUGCCUUCAAAAGGCAAUGUGAUGUUCCAUUCUAUAAGCUACUUUGCAACUAUCUUAAGCUAAGUUCUAACUUUUUAGGAAUAGGAGUCUUUUUUGUCAUGAUACUGUUAUAUUCAUUAGGAGCUAAAAAUAUAUGCUAUAUUCGAAAAUUCCAAGGAAAAUCUUGAGACAAAUUUUUAAUUUUUCUUUCAUUUAGUUCAUGGAGGCCCCUUCUCGCACAUUUUUAAUUGCUCUUAAAGAUGCUGUUCGCUCAACAUCAUUUUUGUCCGCAUUUGUUGGAAUCUUUCAGGUACUGUACUCCUCUGCUUCAGUAAUCAGUAUUUCCUACUUGUAUAAUAUGUUGGCUACAUUCUUAAUGUUUCUUUCUUUGUGUUAGGGUGUCAUAUGUUUACAUAGAAAAGUUGCUUCAAAAGACCACAAGCUUGUAUAUUGGUUUGCAGGUGCAAUAUCUGCUCUUUCAGUUUUACUGGAGAAAAAGCCUAGACGUGGUGAACUGGCUCUUUAUGUUCUUCCACGAGCUGGAGAUUCUUUGUGGUAUAUCUUAGUAAACCGCCACCUUCUUCCAGAUAUUAAGAACGCAGAGGUACUGUUUUUCUACCAUGUCACUUAUCCCUAAACUGUGAUCAUUGAGAAGGAAAUCUAUUCAGCAUUCUAUACUUGAAUCCUUUUUUCGUUCUCGUUGGAUUUGAUUGAACAGUUGGCAAUUUUAUACUAUUUAAAAAGUGCAUUAAUUUACGUUUUUGAAUUGUCACAGGUGUUCUUGUUCAGUUUGUGCAUGGGAGGAAUCAUGUACUACUUGGAACAUGAGCCAGACACAAUGGCUCCACUCCUCAGGGGUCUGAUCCGUCGGUUCCUUGCUAGCAGAAUAAGCAACCCUGUGUCCUCGUCUAGUAGGAAUCCUUCCUACACAUACUUGCAAAAUCUUGAAGCCAUGAAGAAACCGAAGCCCUUGGAGAGUCGUGGUGCUGAAUCACCUUCCGAAAAGUAUAAUCUCGAAUCAAUACCAGGGCUCUGAAGAUUGAGGCGCGUGCAGACCUCCCGACACCCGAAUUUUUCCGUGGAGUUUCACUAAACUUUAUAUAUCCAGACUGAACGUUUCGUUCGCUAAUAAAAGAAAGAUGAUUUUUUGUUUAAAAUUGAAGUUGUGCAUUGAUGUACUUGAAUCUUGAAGAAAAAGAGUGAUAAUGGAAGGCAGUUGCCAAAUUUUAUUUAGCAGCAGAUACAUUUCGAAGUUGUUUCCAAUUUCUAACCUUUUGAGAGAUUUUUUUUAAUGUGCCCCCAACACUGGACGGUACGAUAUACAAGUAGAUGAAAGUUUUUUUUUUAUAAUUGUCUCUUCACUUGUACAUUACAUAUGACGUAUAUGCUUGUGUUCCUGAUGCUCUGAAGAUCUCUCCGUUUCCCCUUGUGUAUAUAACUCAAUUACAAUUAGGGUUAUGAUAUUUGAGGAUUCUGUCCAGAUUCUCUUUGUGAGGAUCCCUCCGUUGGAUUCUUCAUAAGAAUAAUGUUAGGGACAUUAAAUUUUUACACCAAAUUUGCAAACCAAAUGAUGUGUCAUCAAUAAAAAACAAAUACGUUAAUUGACAAUUAAUAAUUCAAUCAUCUACAACCACAUUAUUUGGUUUACGUAUUUGGUUAAAAAAAAUAGUCUACCUACCUCUUUAACUCUCCGUCACCUUAUAUUUUUGGCAUAAUGUUUUAUAAUGUUAUCUCGAGAACUAUCCCAAAAAUAUUUAGUGGUGGAGAAUUCAUAAAAAGUUCCACUUUUGUGAGAAUUUUCUUGGUAUUUCUCAUUUGUAUAUAUGAAAUCACUCUAAUUUUGAGAUGAGGAGCGUCAGCGAGAUUCUCUUGCCAUGGCAAUUCCAGCCGGAUUGAUUGUUAAGUUUAAUUAAUUAUAAUCAUUACUUUCAAGUCACUCUGUAUGGUAAAAUGUUUAUUUUGUUAGAAGUUAGCGGGAAGAAGCAACCUACCCGCGACAGUGCCAAUAAAGACAAACCAAAGGAAAGCGGUGGGGUGAACACUCGACCCAAAGUUCUACGCACCUUGCCAAAAAAGCGAUAAAUCGUAGUGAAGACAAGUGGAAGGAAGGUGGUGGGAAGGUGGAAGAAACAGUGAGAUUCUCUCGCCAUCGCAAGUCCACCUUUGUAUGCUAUCUAUGUUUAUUCUCUUACAUAAAUGAACUCAAGGGGAAUCAAUUCUUACAAGGAGCUUAACAUAAUCUGCACCAGUUGAUGGAUUCGAGGCUGUCUGAGGCUUCUAAAACAGGAGACAUCCAGCUCUUGCACCAGUCGAUGGCAGAGAAUCCACUUCUGCUCCAUAACCUUGCCCUAACUUCCAUCGAGAACCCGCUACAUGUCGCUUCGCUUGCCGGACAUGUCGAAUUUGUUCAGGAGAUCGUGAAGUUGAGACCAGCAUUUGUGCAUGAAAUGAACCACGAUGGGUUCAGCCCCAUGCACAUCGCGGCAGCCAACGGGUAUUUGGAGGUUGUAAGGGAGCUGCUGAGAGUUGACCCGAGACUCUGCCGGAUGAAAGGAAGAGACCAAUGGACUCCUCUUCAUUAUGCUGCUGCUAGAGGGAGGGGUGAUGUCGUCGGAGAGAUGGUUUUGGCUUGCCCGGAAAGUCUCGAAGACGUGACUCUGCAUGAGGAGACUUCGUUGCACCUUGCUGUUAAUAACUGCCAGUUUGAAGCAGUUAAAAUUUUGGUUGAGUUGGUCAUGGAACUGAGGAAGGACAACGUUUUGAAUAUGAAGGACAAAUAUGGCAAUUCAGUUCUUCACGUAGCAACCUGGAAGAAACAACACCAGGUUAGUACACUAUGAUCAACUAAUUUUCAUUUGAAUUUUUUUUUUGUUCUUUUGUUUUACAAGUCGAUAUUUUAGACUACUCUAAAUGGAUAGGGUGAUUCUGGGUACAAGAGGGCGGAGCAGUGUGUCCGUCUCGUAACAUUCAAUUUCGAAUUCCUAUACCUGAGUAGUUUAAAAUAUUGUUUUGCCAAAAAACAAAAUAUGGAUUAAAAAGCUCAUAAUCUUCACAGGUGGUGGAAUGGAUAGUUGGCAAUAGAACAACUCCAAGUGCAUUGGAAGUAAACAUUGUAAACCAGAGUGGUCUAACACCUCUUGAUCUGCUACUAAUCUUCACGAGUGAAGCUGGCGAUAGGGAAAUUGAAGAGAUCCUUCGUGGUGCCGGAGCUUCGAGAGCAAAAGACAUACACCAUACUCCCUCUAAUUGUCCCAUGGAAACAAAUACCCUUCAGCUGCAGCAGCCAAACGACCCGACGGAAUACUUCAAGUUCAAAAAGGGGAGAAAAUCUGACGAAGAUCCAAGCCCGGUGCUGCUAGUUGUCGCUGUACUAGUGGCCACCACCACCUUUCAAGCCGGACUCAGCCCUCCGAACGGCGGUUUGCACUACACCACUGGAUCAAACAAGAAUGGGACUGGCUGUGGGAGCAAUGGUUUAGUAGUUCUCUAUAUGUUUUUCAACACGAUUGGAUUUUCGGUUUCGCUUAUCAUGAUCGACUUCCUCACGCGCAACUUCCCUCUGCUGUUUAAGCUUCGAUUUUGUAUGGUGAUGAUGUACGGCACGUACACCGUUGCAGUUAUCAGCACUGCACCGAAAAGCAUGCUGCUCUGCAUCACUUCGUCAACUCCAUUAUUUGUAGUGAUUUUACAGUUGUGCUGUUGUAUUAAUUUGAAGGUGCCUUGGCAAAACCUAAUAGGCUCUUUGGCUCCCUUACGCAGUUAGUUAUUUUCAGGCCUGCCAUUGCUAGCUAGACAGGUUGUUUAUAGGUCAUUUGCUUGCCCCACAAGUAAAUUGUGCCUCUUAUCAAAAGAUUGUUCUAUGGAGGGUUUAAAUCUAUAUUAGGUUCUUUUCGAUGCCUUGAAGAUAAGAACUUUAUAUUUUUCUUGCAUUGAAUGCCAAAACAAUGAACACAAACUGAUCAGAAACGAUCGAAGCCAGUUUGAAAUCUUUGUUGCAAAAGAGAAAAGAAAAAAAAGAAGUAAAAACAGAAAGUAAAGCACUAGAAAUAAUAGUAAAAGCUGAAGGUAAACUGCUUGUAAAUACUCGUGACGUGUUAACCAAAAUGACAUAAAUUGCAGGAAAGGUAAUAACUCGAAAGUAGGGCUGGUUUGGUAUGAGAUACCGAAUCAAAAGUGGCAUAUCAAAUUCCGAACCAAAAAUUUUCGGGACGAAAAUCUCAUGACCGAUCCCGAACCGAAAUUUCAGGAUUCCCGAAAUAUUUUCGGUAUUUCGGAAUUUCCCCAAACUAAAAUUGCAUCAAAAUCCAAAUCAUCUAGAUUGAAAUUGAAAUCAUCUGAACCUGCAUUACAAAUCCAAAUUGAAAUCAAAGACAUAGUGAUAGUGAAUCAGUGAAGAUUUAUGGUGGAGAGAUAGAGUGAAGAGAGAGACCUACGUCUUCCUCCUGACCCGAGCCCCCAAUUUGAAACCCUAACCUUAAUUUGAAAUCCCAAACACACAAAGAAUCACUCGAGAGAAUCGGAAGUGGGGAUGAAGUCGUGAGGUGUGGUGGUGGCCGGAGUGGAGACAGUUUGUCGGAGUGAGAUUGUUAGACUGUGGGUGGCUACUGAGCUUUGAAUCCGAGAAAGAGAAAGGAGUCUGAGACUAAGUGAAGGCAGAUGAGAAAGGCAAAAUGAAAUGAGAGAGAGUGAGUAUGAUGUCGACUCAGUUUUGGAUUGAGUGGAAGGAAGGGUGGUUUCUGGGUUGCAGAGAGAAAGAGAGACAAUAGAGAGAGAAGAGAUGGAAAAUAAGUGAGAGAUAAAGGGUUAGGUGGUUUAUGGGUUGCAGAGAGAGAUGACUGAUGAGACAGAAAAUAAAAGAGAGAGAGAGACAGACAGAGUUCUGUCUAGAAAACAAGCACCCGUGACCAGAGAUGGGCAAAAUAUCCAUGGGUUUGGGUAACCGCGGUUACCCGUCCAUUUAAAGUUCACGGUUACGAUUAUAGGUGACUGUUUAGAUGAAUAAACGGUUAUGGGUAUAACCGUUUAUCCUUGAAAUUUAAAUGGACGGUUAUGGGUAUUAUCCGCGGUUAUAACAGGUAUCCAUCAGUUAUGGGUAUUACCCGCGGUUAUACAGGUAUCUAUUUACCGAUUUAAUUUAAUAUAUGUAAAAAUUAAAAAAAAAUUAUCGCAAGUGUUCGAAAUUCUUAAAUAAAAAAGGACUUGAUAGCGUAAAUGUUUUUUUCCAAAUUUACCCAUAACUGAACCUACAAUUACUCAAGGACUUUGAACACACAGACACACAUACAUUCACAAAACAACAAAAAUAAAGUAAUUAAAAACAAAAGUAACUAAUAGUGGUGGGUGUGGAAAACGAGGCAACACCAAAAGCCCCAUAUGCGACAGAAAAAGGCAAAGACAGCGAACGGGCUUGGUUAGGUUCUGUCAGAGGUAAAUUGAAAAAAAAAUAUUUACCGUUAGUUGGGCUUUUAAUUCAGUCCAUGAGUUUUUUUUUUUUAAUAUGGCUUUUAAUACAUCAAAACAUUUACUGUUAGGUUAUACGGUUAUACAGGUAUUACCCGCGGUUAUAACGAGUCGAUGAUAUUUUGUCAUUGAAUAUGUUCGAAGUGUUUAGUUUUGGAAUAUUUUGAAGCUUUAAAUAAUCUAGUAUUCAAGAUAAUGACUACUUUUUGUUUUUAGAAGCUUUACUUUGUAAUCAUAUGGAUUAGAAUUAAAGACUUGCUUGGGUGUAGCAGAAAAAUAUCAUUCGUAAACUAUUAUUUCAAUUUAUUGAAAUUGUAUGAAGACUUAAAUGAUUAAAAUAAGAAAAUGCAUGCUAAAAUGUACUUAUAAAGGUGUUUAAUUGUCAAAAAACGAAAAUUAUGACAAAUUUUUCUUUUGUAAUUUUCAGGUUGUUAAAAAAAACAUGUAAAAGGGUGAAAAAGAGGUAAAUGGGUAAAAAAAAGGAUAAACGGGUUCAAAAAAGGGUAAAUGGUUAUGGUUAAAUGGGUACACGGUUAUGGGUAUAAAUAACCGUUUAUAAACGGUUAUGGUUAUGAGUAUAACCAUUUAUGCAAUUACCCAACGGGUAAAUGGUUAUGUGGAUAUGAAACGGUUAUGGGUAAAUAACCACGGUUACCCCCGUCAUAACCGUUCCACAUCCCUAUCCGUGACCCAUCCAUCCUACUUUUGUCAACACCACACCACACCACACUUUCGUGAUUGUAAUUAUAUAAUAAUAAUCAUUACACAUUCCAACACCACACAUUGACACACACACACACACAUACACACACAUAUAUAUAUGUAUGUAUGUAUGUUACAUUAGUAAAGUUUGGUUCAAGAAUACCGAACUAUUCAAAGUGUGAGACCAAAUCCCAUACCAAAAAAUUCGAGAUCGGUUUGGUUUCGGUACCAAAAUUUUCGGGAUUUUUGGUUUGAUAUUUUUUCAGUUUGGUUUCGGUAUGGUUUGGGAUUUUUAGUAUUUUUUUCCAGCCCUACUUGAAAGUAAAUGAUAAAUACAAGUGAUCGGGCAUAGUUUCAACCUAUUCGGGCAAGUUUGGAUGCCAAGCAAGCAAAGUCUUGGAAGUACAAGACAUGUUUUGAGAAGUAAACUUUAAUGCAAGAAAUCGAUACUACAAACGAAGUAUCAGAUUUAUAAAUACAGAAUAAUGUUUAAACUACAAAGGGAGUAUGUGAAGAGUAGGUUGCAAAGCUUUUUUUUAUGUUGAGUUGAGUGUCAUUUUUUCAACAUUUCUAUUGCCUUUAUAGAACCGCCCUUUUCUUCUAGAGUAAGCCUUUCCUCCUCAGCUCAUUCUCUCUGGUGCAAGUAGCUGAUACAAUAUGUUGUCAAAGGAUGAGUUCCCACUUGGAUACUUGAGCUUUUGAUCCCCUUGAAACAUAUCAUCGUUGGUGCAUUCAUCAUAGAAGCUCCAGCUUCGUACUAUCAUAAACACCGUACAUUUGCAAUGGGGAUGUGCUAUCCACACACCCCUUGAUAAUUUCUGUCCGUUGAUCUUCUUCAAUUCAUCCGAUGCGACGGUCGAAAAUUAAAAAGGUAUGUGAGAAGUAAAAUAUGGUGUAUGAAUAUCAUACCCCUUUGCAAUGUAUUACGAAAUUUUCCUUUCUUCUUUUGCUUUUUCUGAUAAAAAAAUUAAGGUUGAACAAAUCAGACUUUGUGGUUCAAAAAUCUAAUGGAAUCUUUGAGAGAAGGGUGGGAUUCUUAACUUUGGGUUAACAUAGAGUUGACGAAAAUGUUAAUUUUAGGCUUGAAUCAUAACGAGCUUCACCACAAGGGUUUAAAUUCAAUUUUUUUCACCACGGGAGUAAUCUUCUGAUUAUCCUAUCACCACGGGGACCAUUAAUCCAAUUUAGCCACUAAAUUAUAUUGCAUCAACUGAACGAAUAUUUAUUUUUAUUGACGAAUAUAGAUAUAACCGUUAACCGAUGGAGAAUCCGUUAUUCGGUGGGUAUGGUUAUGGAUAAUUAACGAUGAUUAAUUUACGGUUAUGGAUAGAGUUAAUUUUUAUGGUUAUUGGGAUAUAAAUAGUAUUUCCGUCCUCAAACCGAACUGUUGUCAUCCCUAGCACUACCACAUGUCUGUUUGAUCCUUAUAUUUGUUUAUGAGAAAAGUUAAGGAGACUUUCUCAAAGUGGGACUCUCCAUAAACACUCUUUGCUACCUCAUGUUUUUGAUAUGAUACUUUAUAAUGUUGGCACGAAAAUUGUGCCAAAAACAUUUAAUGAACGAGAAUCCAUAGAUAGUUGCACUUAUGAAAGAGUCUCCCUAACCAUGGAAGAAAAUGCCGAUAAUAUCGGCGAAAUAUCGCCGAUAUUAUCGGUUUUUCGGGUGAUGGAUAUUCUAAGUGGUAUCCGAAUGGUUUUCGGCCAAAUAUCGCGAUAUUUUGGAAAUAUCGGCGAAUUGUUUUUGAGUUUGGUGCAAUCGGACUCCGAGGCGACGUCGGAGAAGAACGCCGGAGACGGUGUGCCUAUUCCCGGGCCGAUUUUGUCCCAAAAACCUUGCAAAAACACGAAUUUUAACAUCAAUUUCACAUAUAAACUUCAGAUUUCACGCAUGCAUAAACGAUUCAACAUAUGUGAAGUCGGUUUAGGGUUUAGGGUUUCAAUGGAAUCUCACCUGACGAAGACGAAGACGAACCAGAUGACUGAACGUGAUCCUUGCUCAGCGGCGCACCGCCAGAGACGACUGAGCCAACUCCGACUUCGCCAGAGCCACGAUCAACGGCGAAAGGAGAAGAGAGAUCAAGAGAUCUGUGUGUGCGUGUGUGUGUGUGUGUUUGGGAGAAAAGAGAUCGGAGAAGGGAGAAGAGAGAUCGGAGAAUGGAGAAGAGAGAUCUCCGAUCUGUGUGUGUGUGUGUGUGUGUGUGUUUGGGAGAAGAGAGAUCUCUGAUCUCUGUAGAUGGAGGGUGUGUGCGUGUGUGUGUGUGUGGAAUGAGGGAGAAGUAUGUGUGUGUUAUCCGAGAGAAAGAAAAAAAUACAUUGAGGGUGUGUAUGUGUGUGUGUUUGUGGCACACGGUUUGACACAUGGUUUUGUAUAAAACCAUGGUUUGUGUGUGUGUGUAUAUGGUUAUGUGUGUGUGUGUGUUAUCCGAGAGAGUUUUGGCACAUGGUUUUGUAUAAAACCAUGGUUUUGUGUGUGUGUGUGUGUAUGGUUAUGUGUGUGUGUGUUAUCCGAGAGAAAAAGAAAAAAACUUUGAGGAUGUGUGUGUGUGGCACACGGUUUUGUAUGAAAGAAUUGGAAGUGACUUUGCUCAGAAGAACCAAAUAUUCUGUCAGAGAAGAACCAAAAAAUCUGCUUACUUUAUCUUCUUCUCCACGUGAAGACCAAAUUCUGUCAGAGAAGAACCAAAAAUGCAAUGUAUAAAGUGUAAAAUAUUGUACUAAUUCAUUAUAUAUAAAUGAUUAUGGUGUGUUUAGACUUCUUUCAUUAAUUACUACAUAUUUUCUACACUCACAAUGUUUGUCAGCUCACUAUAUAAUCAACUUGAUAAUGUUAAAUUAAUCAUGCAAUGCAUUUCCUUCCAAUUUUUUGUGAUAAACUAAUAGAUAAUUGACUAAAUAAACAUCAUGCAAAGUUUCAAUAAAAAUUUCCAAGUUUUUCUUACAAUUUCCGUGGUUUCCAUGUAAUUUUUAUCGAUAUCGAUAUUAUCCCGAUAUUUCCAUCGAUAUUUCCGUGUUUUCGGAUUACCGAUAUUUCCGAUAUUACCGAUAUUUUCUUCCUUGUCCCUAACAUAUCUCAUUUGUAUAUAUGAAGGGUAAUGCUAGAGAGACUAAAUUUGGAUACAAAACUUGCAAACUAAAUGAUGUGUCACCAAUAAAAUGAGCACGUUUAUCAACGCUUAAGUAAUAAACUAAUCAUCAAUUUCCACGUCCUUAGUUUCUAAAAUUUUAUCUCCAAAUUUAGUGUUCUAGCAUUAUCUUGAAUGAAAUCACUCUAAUUUUGAGAUUGGGAGUGUCAGCAAGAUUCUCCCGCCGUCGCAGUUCCAGCAGAAUUGAUUGGCAAUUAACAUGAAUUGAUUGAGUACCAUUAACUUUAUUUGCUUAGUGCAAAGGGUUUGUCGGUUUAUCUUAAAAGUAGAUAGUAUAAAAGCUCUUUCCCUCUCUUGUAAUAACUAACUUUGGUAAGAAUUCAGAUAUAGCAAAUACUACAGAGCUCUAUAGCUUUCUUCUUGGCAAAGCUUCUUCGUUACAACUUCUGCAUCUAUUUCAUGAUUUCAGUCUACAGUGUUUAAUACUGUAUACUAUGUUUAUUUUAUUACACAAAUCGAAAGAAAUUAACGAGCAGAAGUAACCCAAUAGCAACAGUGCCUAUAAAAGUAAACCAAAAGAAAAGGUGGUGUAACAACGUUUUGAAUAUGAAGGACAAAAAUGGCAAUUCAGUUCUUCACGUAGCAACCUGGAAGAAACAACACCAGGUUAGUUCACUAUGAUCAAUUAGGUUUCAUUAGAUUUUUUUUUUUGUUUUGUUUUAAAAGUCGAUAUUCUGAACUCCUCUAGUUAACGGAUAGGGUGAUUCAAACUUAGGUACAAGAGGGUAGAAAUACUGUCUUGACCAACUAACCUAAUUUGCACUUACGACCUUCCCUUCAAAUUUGAAAUAGAAUGUAUUCAAACCUAGAAAUGUUGACAUUUUAGCCAAAAUAGUCUCUGAGAUUGAUAUAACUCUUUAUUUGGGUAUUUAAAUUUGUCCACCAUCAACCUUUUUUUCUUUCUUUUAAUAAACGAUAAUAUCUCCAAAAUGACAAAAAUACUCUUUAUUUAAUAAACAAUGAGCAAAAAUGAUUUGACAAAAAGUAAGGAUAUUUUUGUCAAUUUAUUCUUAUUUAACCGUGAUUUUUCACAGAAUAACCAAAAUGAUUGAUGGUGGACAAACUCAGAGACCAGUUCUUAGAUUCUAAAUCUCAAUGACCAAAGUAAGGACUUGUAUCAAUCUCAGAGACUAUUUUGAGUAAAAAGCCAUUAUUUUACUAAUGACACCAAUUUUAUUAAUCUAGAAAGAGGUGACUCACCAAUUUGAUCUGAUCAAACCUAAAAUGAAAAACAACGUAGUCAUAGCACAAAAGAACUUAUGAGGUAAACCAAAUAGGUGGAGUAGUGUAUCCGUCUCCUAACGCUUAAUUUCGAAUUCCUAUAUCUAUAUAUUUGAGUAAUCUAAAAUAUUGUUUUGCCAACAAAAAAUAUCGAUUAAAAAGCUCAUAAUCUUCACAGGUAGUGGAAUGGUUAGUUGGCAAUGGAACAACUCCAAGUGCAUUGGAAGUAAACACUGUAAACCAGAGUAGUCUAACACCUCUGGAUCUGCUACUAAUCUUCCCGAGUGAAGCCGGCGAUAGGGAAAUUGAAGAGAUCCUUCGUGGUGCCGGAGCUUCGAGAGCACAAGAUAUAGGAGCUUCGAGAGCACAAGACAUACAACAUACUCCCUCUCAUGGUCCCAUGGAAACAAAUACCCUUCAGCUGCAGCAGCCAAACAACCCGAUGGAAUACUUCAACUCGAUGGGUUCUGACGACAAUAAUUUUUUUGCCCGCUUUGUGGGUACCAACUCGAUGGGAUUUUUCGUUUCACUUUACAUGAUCGGUGUCCUCACCAGCAAUUUCCCUAUGCAGUUGGUGCUUCUAAUGUGUAUUCACGCGAUGUACGGCACGUACAACAUUGCAGUUAUCAGCAUUGCACCGGCGAACCCGAUGGUGUUUGUCUCUCUGUUGAUUUGUGGUUUGCCAUUUUUGCUUUCACUUGUAGUCCUAUUUUGGCGGCUUAUCAGGAUCAGGCUUAGAGAACUGCAUUAAGUGGUUCAUUUAUAUUUGUACAUAAUAAGUCUAUUUCCGGGAUCAAAUCAUCGUUGCCGCAUUCAUCAUAGAAGCUCCAGCUUCGUAUCCUAGUCAGUCGUUACUAUCUUAGGCCCCGUUUGGGGUUGCACUGCUUUUUUCAGCUUAUUUUAAAAGUUUAGGUGUCUAAUGCGUUUGGUAAAUAACAAGAAUCCCGCUUAUUUUAAAACUUUCGGUCCCUGACAGCAAUUCAGAGAAAAAAAUAUACCUACGUACUAACCCAUCCCAAAUAUCCAGAAUUGCUCCAUCAUCAAUCUCCAUUAACUAUAGUUUGGGCGGUCAGUGGCGGGCAUGAGAUAAGGAGUGUUAGAAAUUAGAUCAGGUAUUGUUCUUAUCAAUUUUGGCAUUGGCUGCCAAAAAUGCCAAAAUUGUUUAAGUUUCUCUAAAUGUGUGUGCUCACAAAUAUUUCUCAAACUCCAGACUUGCUACCUCCAAUCUUGCGACUGCGUUUGAAAUUACUUUUUAAUUUCUGGAAAACAAAUAAAUAUAUGAAACGUUUUAGCAUGUCUUUUUCGGUCAUUGUACAUGGUUACACUACUUUUGCAAAAAUAUUUAUCAAAUAACUUGACACUGCUUUUUAUACUAACAGCACUUUGGUAAAUCUAAUUUACCAAACACUUACUGCUUUAUUUCACGGUUAAUUAUACUCAAAGCACUGCAGAAGCAGUUUUUUUUUUUUUUUUUUUUUUUUUUUAAGCACAGCAAUACCAAGCUGGCAAUACGGUACAUUUGCUAUAUAUUACGAAAUUUCGGGUGGGAAAACUUCUUAUACGAUGAUGCGUAAAGAAUUCAGUACAAAAACCGUAAAACAAAAUUAUUUGUACUACUAUUUGAUUUAUGAUGGUGUGUUUUUUUUUUUUUUUUUUUUUUUUUUUUUUGACGGAGAUUUAUGAUGAUGUUUAUUCUAUAUGUCGACAUCUUUGCCGGCAGCAAUAGAUACCGUCGUUUGAUACUGCAAAUUAAAACCCCGUGGAUGCGCAAAUUCGAGCCAACCUUAUGUAUUGUAGGGAGAAAGGAACAAUGUUUUUGGUAGCACAAAAGUUCAUAGUCUUCUAGUUGGAGUAAUCUAAUUAAGGCUUUAAUAUUGGUGCAGAAAGUUUUACCAAAUGAUCAUCUUUCAGACAUAUAUCACAAUGGCGAUCUUUGAUCACAAUGACUUGUACUGCUCGAUCAAACGAGAAGCAUGGAGGCGCGAUGUAGGAGCCACGGUGCAGCCCAAACUUUGCAGAUAAGAAAUCUGGUAAUUCACAACACGAGAAACGAAUUACCGGGUCUCAACCAUCCUAGAUACCAAUGUGCGCACAAGAAAAGGUGUAAGGUAAUCAAAUGCCGAGUCUUGCGUACCUGUUUCGGUGUUGGUUCGGAUGAACCCAUUGAGUUCUCAAUCCGUAACUUCUGGAAAUGCUCCUGAAAGCAUAAAUAUAUGUAUGGAUUAAAACCAAUGACAAAUGGACAUAAUUUACGGACAGUGCUUGAAGAAAAUACAGAUAUAAACGCUUCGGUAUUUCAUUAACGCAAGUUCUAGAUUUUGAUGUAUCAAAUGUCCCACGUCGAGACCACGUUAAGGAAAAUGGUUCUAGAAAUUGGCUCAGAACUUGAAUCAUAAGUUCAGACAACGAAAAGCAAUAGUUUGCUACCGAAAACAAUCAAAGUAUGGCAAAGUGAACCGUCUUAAACCUAACCUGUUUCUCCCUCAUCAAAUGAGCACGUUGAUCUGCAGGUAUUUUCUGCCAUCUCAAAACCUGUUACAAAGAAAUAUAACGUUGAUGUCGAGCUGGUUAGCAUAUUAUACCAAUUAUGUGCGCAAACCUAUUGAAAUGAAGUAGAUGUAGUUGCAUAUUACGACAGAUGUUAACGAAGAAAACAGAAGGCUCGCCUGUUAGAGAUGCUAAAUCCAGUGAUCCUUUUGUUUUUGGUUUCAGAAAUUUUCAGAGCACAAAUCGGAAAGUACCAAGAAUACUUACAUAUUGGGCAUAAUGAAAUGCAUCUUCAUCUUUCAAGCAAGAUUUGAGUGAGCGCAAACCGUCCUGAGAGUUACAUAGAGUCAAUCAGUAAUAUAAAAACGUAGAUGCAUCACACCAAAACACAAGUAUUCAAAUUUCAAACACAGACAACUUCUGCACGUGGUGAGGCAUGUUAAAUGAUAGGGGUAGAACAAUUAUUGAGUUGGAAGUUAAAGGACUAAAUUUAUGACCUUGUGCUUGUAGUUCUUGGCUCGUAUGCGUUCAUCUAUUACAAAACCGACCUGUAAGGAGUAGUCAGAACAACAAGCGUCACCUUUCACAUUGCCUCCAAUUCAAAGUUAAAAGUCUAAAGGCAAACCAGUAUGAUUCUUAUCUCUCAAACAAAACUGAAACUAUACUCCGGUCUCAGACAUAAAUGAAAUAAGUUCUACUGCCUCAACUGAGUACUGCUUUGACUAUAUAUAAAUCCAAUUCACCUUGUCAAGUAAUCUCUUAGGAUCUUGAAAUGCUUGUUUCUUAGCCCAGUCAUUAAAUAAGUGCGAGAUAAUCGAUCUCUCCUCCACACCAAAUCUGUUGCACAGUGACAUAAGAAUAAAGUUAGGCAUGAAUAUGACAACCAAAAAUGCUAAUUGUAAUAGUCUACCCAUCACAAUUGGAAGCAAAACCUCUUUAAGAAACCAUUUCCAUGGUUUUCCUCCCCAAAUUCCAUCAAUUCUGCAGAAGCAUCGUCAAAUUUACUAUGAUGGAGAUCAUUUUGCACCAUAACAACUCCAGAAGGUAGGAGGUUUGGUUUGGGAUCAUCUGUCGACGGAAUAGUUUCUUUUGAAGUGUCAUGAUGCUUUGAUUGUAAGCCUACUGUACUUACGUCAGCCUACAAAAUAAAAUUUUCAUUCAUCCACUACACUAGACUUAAUAUGAUUCACAACACUUCAGAUUCUUCAUUAUCUGUAAGUUUGACUAAACAGCAGAACAACUGAGAAUAAUGAACAGUACAACACACCUGGACUUCUCGUAGAUGAUUUGGAAUUUCUUUGAGAAAUCGUGAAGGUUGAAGCAUCUGGAGUCACCUUCUCAGUCAGAGCAACAAUAACAAAUAAGGAGGACAGAAAAUUCAAGCUAAAACACACCUGCCAACUGGAAUCCAUCGUAACGUAAAGAAUGAAAAGCUUUUUUCGAGCACGAGUCAUUGCAACAUAUAAUAGGCGUCUUUCCUCCUAGGAUUGGAGUGAGAUUAUUGAGUUAUUGGCCAAAAGAAAAAAGAGUGGGAUUAGGGUGUAAAACACUACAAAGCUCUGCAUAUAACUGAGAAAUGUUGAACAAUUUACCACACACCUCAAUGGAGGUCCCAUUUUCUUUUGCAACGCCAUUGAAUUCAUGCAACAACGGGAUCUCAGAUUCAUUUACCUGUGUUAUUGGCAUGAGCAUUAAAGCAAGCUAAGAUGAUUUAAAGAGGUUGAUAUCUUCAUGAAUGUAGUAGAACAGAAUACUAAUUUCAAGCCAUCAAUUAGUUAUAGCAUUGGCAUGUUUAAUCCAUAAAUGUAAUGACAGAACACAUCAACUCUACACAUAAAUAAAUAAACAACUAGAAAAAUAUUACAGCCACUUGUUAAGGCAGAUACCUUAAUUAUGAAAACUAUAUCCCACUCUAAACCCUUUGACUGCAAGAGAAUGAAAAAGAAAGACAGUAAGCCAAGAAUGUUUUGUAGAACUCCAGAGGAAGUCCAAUAUGGAAAUCAUCGCAAGUAUAGGAGUUAGCGAGGUUUGCAUAAGAGGAUAUCAAAAAGAUCCAGAACCUGAUGAAUAGUAGUCAAAGUGACAGAACUUUGGUUGUCAUGUCUUCGGGAGCGAAAAUUUUCAUUCUCCCGCUCAGAUAUGUAGUCGAUGAAAGCUUUGAGUAAAUUAACGCAACCUUUUUCUUCUGCUAUGACUUCUCUCUCCCCUUCUCCCGCAACAAAAUGAGUUGAUAAGAAAUCAGAUACGUCGUCUAGUAGGUACUGAAGAACCUGCAAUGAGAAUAAUCGCACCACAACAAAAGGGUUGGACCAAGAUUUAAGUCACAACAAUGAUUAACUAACUAAAAUAGAGAAAUUAUUCAUUUUAAGAUUUUGUUGACUGAAAAAAGGGUUUUCCAAGUAGCAGGUCUUUUAAGCUUAUUGUAUAAAUAACAAUCAUCACAAAUGCCAAACUUACAGAUCUCACGUCACUGUCUUCAUUCAACAGUUUUCCUCCAUCUACAUCAACGACUGCACGUUGCUCAAGAAGGUACUUCUAAAAAUUGAAAGUCAAACGAUAAAUUAUUAAGAAACAUUGAAUAUAAGCAUGAAACAAAGAAAAUGUAACGGAAUGGUGAUCCUCAUCCUCAAAGAUGAUUAAAAGCAAUUUGAUUCAAAAAUGACAUAUCAACUCUGGAGAAAUGGAAGACAAACCUGUGGUACCAUAUUCGCAACUGAGGUUACAACAGCUGAAAUCGAUUGUUCCUGUGUGCAUUGAUAAGUAAGACUACCAUAGAGAUUCAAGUAAAGACAGGUAUUCCACAGAACAACCCUUACCUCUUUGGAAACACAGAUCUAACAAAAACUAUAACAUUUUGGAUUAAUAUUGACUAAUCAAGAAUAAUGCAAGGGAGCAAAAGAGAUACUCUUCCUUCUAAUAACAAGAAGGCAUGAAAAGUAUACAGAGUUCCAACAAUUAGAGAACUUAAAUCAAACUAAAAAAAUCACCAAAGUAGACAGAAUCUCACUUCGCCAAAAAUUUGAAAAUAUAUCCUUUUUAUCCACUGAGAUUCAUAAACUACUACUACUACAUCAUGCCAAUAAGCAAUGCGUAAGAGGUGCUACAAUUUACCAAAUAUAUUUACCCUGAGAACAAGUUUUGAAAUCAUCUCUAGUGUUAACAGCACCUUGCGUCCUUGGGUAAGCUGAGUCCUAGUAUCAAGUAAAGAGACCAAUCAGUACAUAUCCAAAAGAUCUUAAAUGCUUGUAAUACCAAAUAAGAAAGAAACAUGAGUAUAUCUUGAAUUAACCACGCAAAAAUGUAAUGUUAAAGCAUCUUGUCAUACAGACCUCUUCAAGGUACCAGAAAUUUUUGCACUAAAGAUGUCACAAGCAGCUGAUAUGAAGCUGCAUUUUCUGUGAGUUGAAAUUUUGUCAAUAUAAUCGAUCACCUGAAGAGAGAGAGAGAGAGAGAGAGAGAGAGAGAGAGAGAGAGACAGUGAUAUCCAGAGAUGUGAGCCUAGAGGCUGAGCGUGUAAAAAAGAAAAUUAAAUGGAUAGCAAGAAUAUACAACUUUAAUGCCGAAAAGAACAUUAAAUAUGAUGCUCAUUCAUCAUUGCCCUUGAACAUGUACCUUCUUCUUUUCCUCCUUCUCAAAAGGAAGUAGAGCCUUGAAGACUUGCCUAUAUGAUCCAUCAUCACAACCAGGCAAAGUCGUUUUAAUCAUAGCAACAAUGGCUCUAACUACCUGCCAUAAGAAACAUGCUACAUGAACAAGAUCAGAGUGUACCAGAAACCGUAAUGUAGCAAAAUCUUAGAUAGAAUAGCUGGCCAAAAGGGAAUGGAAAAGCAAGCACAAAAAACAAUGAAAAGGACCAGUGAUGCCAAAAUUCAGAUGGAAAAGGUGAAAAGCUUAUGUCUUUAUAACUUAAGUUCUACGUAGCAAAAAAACCACCUUAUGCACAACAAUAUUGGAAAAAUUAGAUACAUAUAACUGAGAAGAUAGGUUUUCAUAAUCUGGACAAGUGCUAACUACCUUCUUCCUAUAAACUGCCACUCCAUGAACAUUAAAUGGUAUUUUCCUUUCACGCAAGGCUGUCUGGAAGACUUUUCCUGAUACCUGUAGUAUAAAAUACAAAAGAAAAUGUGACCAAAAUGUCUUAUAUGAUUCACCUCAUUCACAUUAGCACUAGGGCAACUCAGCUUGACCUGCCUCCGGUAAAGGAUUGCUAUAUUUCCAUAGGAGCACCCAGCUUCUGACCGUUUAGAUGCAGUCUCCAGGAUCUUGUCGACAACAAAGGCGCAUUGUGCAUCCUCAUUGUGACUUUCCUUGAUAAUUACCUACAUUUUGCCGGUAAAACCAGUGUCACUAACUAAAAGGACUGGAAAAUGACAUCAAAUUGUACUUGUUGGAGCAAGGAAGGAUUAAGUACCUUAGACCCAGAAGAAUUGUCGGUCUCAACAUUCUUUGGUUGGCAUCGCUUCUUAUUGUUUUUUAUAACAGAAGAUGCAGCUUCCACAAUAUAGCGUGUGGACCGAUAGUUUUUAUUAAGCCUAAUCUGAACCAUAAAGUUAUGUCAAAUCCCACAGAACCCCAUAAAAUAAAACUUACUUUCCUGUAAUUAUACAAUAUAUUUGUUCUAUACUAUGUACAAUGAAAAAGACUGACAUAAAAUAACAUAGCAGUCAAGUGCGAAGCGAACCUCUUUGUAAUUUGAAAAAUCUUUACGAAAAGAAUCAAAUCCAGAAAUGUCCGCCCCAUUGAAACUGAAAAUGGACUGCAGCAGGAUAUAUGUUAUUUGAUUUAGAACAGAUAAGGGCUGGAUUAGAAUGAGCUGAGAGAGAGAGAGAGGGAGAGAGGGAGCAAUAACAUUGGAUUUCCAUAAUAAAUCAACAACAUGCCUGAUCAUCAUCACCAACAAUGGUUAUGUGGUUAUGAGAGGCAAGAAUCUGCAAAAGACUAUAUUGCAUAGCACUUGUGUCUUGAAACUCGUCUAUUACAAUAGCUUUCCAUGACUCCUGGCACUCCUUCAACACUAAUUAAGAGAACACCAUGUAUCAACAUUUAGCAUUACUUGUAAAACUAGAUAAAUCAAUUAAAUAUACUUAUAUGAUAGAGACCUUCAGGAAAAUCACUUAGCAGCUUCACGGAGCAGCUAAUUAAGUCGUGGUAGUCCAAAGCGUUGCAUGAUUUCAAGAUAUCAUUGUAAUUCCUGAGAAUUUCACCCUGAUUCAGAUUGAGAGCUAAAACUCAUAAGCAAUAGUUUCAGAGAACUGAAAUAAUAUCUGAAAUUCUAGUUCUGAGCUUACUCCUGUCACAUCAUCCAUUCUUCGGCAUUCAGCGGGAGUCUUUCCGGAAGCUUUUGCCUGAAACAUAAAUAAAUUUAUUGCCUAAUGCCAUAUAUUGUAAGACACAAGAACCCUUGUAUUGGUCAUUCUAGCUUGAUUGUAGCUAAUAUUUUUUAAAUCGAAUGAUUAGAGUUCUUAAUCCACUAUAAUCUGAACACUAAAUUUGGUAUUCAUGACUAACCUGUGUCACAAACUUCAGCCAUUUCUUUGAUGCAUCCUUAAAAUGAUGUGGAGAUGUUACGCCGUUAGACUCUUCCCCAUCUAUGGCAACAUUAAGAUUCGUUUUACUCUUUUCAUCUUCUGAUAACCGCACAGCUUCAAUGAUUGCUCUUCUCUGUUGCCCAUGUCCAUAUAUCAAAAAUUCUGGUGUACGCUCGAGUCUAAAACACAAGCCAACAUAUCAACAUAAACCAACAUAACAGACUCAGCUAUACCACCAAAUGUAUGCUGUUCAAAAUUAAGGGAGGUGAAUCAAUAGCUUACUUCUCAGCAUGUGAUCGGCAAAGUUGCAAUGAAAAUGAAUGAAAUGUACUGAUUGUUAGUAGUUUUGCCGUUGCUUUCCCAGUCACGGAUCCAAUUCGAUCUCUCAUCUCGGAAGCUGCGGCUGUAGUGAAAGUCAUUGCUAGAAUGUUCGACGCACUAAUGCCCUAAGAACACACCAAAAAAAAAAAAAAAAAAAACGAAUAAGAUUUCGAUCAUAAACAAGAAAUGUAGAGAAACAGUCAAUUAAGAAAGAAAAGGUUAGAGGGAAAAUGGCAACACCUCAUUGAGCAUCAUUAGAACGCGCCCAACCAUCGUUGAAGUCUUUCCACUUCCAGGGCCGGCAACAAUCAUCAAAGGUACUGAAAUAUCGCUGCAAGCUGCCUCCCGCUGCCUUUCGUUGAGAGAAAGCAAAUACUUCGAAUACUCAUCCGGCAUGUUAGGCAAUCCAUGGUUAACAGAAUCUCUUUGGUUUUCACUACUCAAAGGCGGCGCUGAUGCGGCACUAACAUCACUACCACAACUCCCAAUAUCAUCACGCUGAAUGUCCACACUCGGUUUCUGCUCGAUUAAAGCGUCAAUUUCCUGCAAAAUACUCUCAUCGAAAUCAUCAUCGCCGAUAAUUCCAGGCGCAGAGAAAGAACUGAAUGAAGUCGGAAAAUGCGGUUGUCUGAUUGGAGUUAUGAAAGAAUCCGAUUUUGACACGCUUGAUUCAAUCCGGCUAAUGCUUAAGCUCCCGGAACACGAAGAACUGCCAUAUUCACCACGCGCUAAAUUGUACCGGCUUGCGGAAAUCGGAGGCGGUGUGUUCAUCGGUAGCUCGGCAAGAGGAGUUCUUUGAACUCUAUUGAGCUGAGCUGGUGUUUGGAUUCCAUUUCCGCCACAAAUUCUGGAAUUUGAAAAACACAAUUGAAUUGAUUUAAAUCAAGAAAACAGCCAAGCACCAAAAAAAUAGUAAGAAGAUGAAAUCUUUGAUUCCUGAACGACUUACUUGGUAUGAGGGAGGUGAUGAUCAGGUGAAACGGCGUCGUUGCGGGGGCGUUUGCGAUCAAUGAGGGCCUUGGCGGCUCUGAAAUUCCGAGAGAUGCGGUUUCUUUGUUCCACCGUGAGCCCUCCACCGUACGCCUGAACGUUUUCCUUGGACAUUGCUUCGAAGAUUCCGACGGAAGAUUCGGCCUGACGGCCUGACAAGGCAACCCUAGAAAGAAGAAGAAGGAGCGAAGAAGACCAAAUGUGUCCGUUUUUCUUUUGGUUUUUUUCCCUCCUAAUCGCGCUGUUCGAAAUCCUUGGGCCUGGGCCUAGUGGGCCCAAUUGUCAGGCCCAUUAUCUCCGGUCUUCUAGUUCUACUUCUUGCCCAAGUUAAUAGCACAACGUACAGGUUCGCAUUUUGCGCGAGGGGGAAAUGGAGGCCCUGAUUGCCUCGUACGGAGACUCGUCGUCGGGCUCAGACUCCGAGUCGCCGGCUCCACCUCCACCACCACCUCGGGAGCUCAACAACCCUCAAGAACCGACCCCUGCGCUGCCUGCACCUCCUCUGUCACUUCUCGACAGCCCCAAUUCCUUCGGUAACCUCUGAUUCCCAUCAAUUUUCUAUCUUAUAGCUUUCUGUUGUGAUGGCUUUUUCCGAGUUGCCCACCAAGUGUUUGAUGUUUUGCCUCUGAAGGAUUUCUGGACUUCUCGGCAAGCGCCCAGCUGAGCAGAGUUAGGAACUUUCCUCACGUCGAAGGGAACUACGCAGUACAUGUAUACAUCCCAGGUAAUCAAAAUUCUCGAAAUUUUCAGCUCCAUAAGCAAAUGCGAUCGCUUUGCACUUAGAUUUUGCUUGUUUAAUUGUGUGCUUCCAGUUUAUAUACCAUCAGCAUCAAGGAAAGAGAUGGCCUUGUUUUUGAACAAGCUAGCUUCUCUGGUGCCUGGUUUCCAUGCCGUUGACGUCGACGUCCCGCUUGACAUUCUGCGUAAGGACGAGCAUAAGCUUGAACAAGUUGCUUUAAGCAGAGAGUUCCAUAUAAGUCUCGGACGAACUGUUCCGAUUCGGGUGCACCAGAUUGAUUCCUUGGUGACAAUGCUGCGGCAGAAGCUUCAGAUUCAGAGGCGGUAUGGUUGCAUUUACAUUCUCUUGUGUGCAUUGCGAAUUUAGUUCUGUUAUUUGACAUAAUUGUUUAAGCCUGCAAAGUUUUCGUCCAUUUUUGGUUUUUAACACAUUUUAUUAUUGUGGAACAGGUAUUGGAUUGAUUUUAGCAAGUGGGAGGUUUUUGUUAACGAUGAUCAGACCCGGACCUUUGUGUCGAUCGAAGUCAUUGCUGCUGGGUUAGCUGAGGUAUGAUUGCUAGCUUUCUCUCUUGGUGCAAUUCUAAAUGUUUUCAGUUGUUAUAUGGGCUUAAGAUUUAGUAAGUACUUGCCGAAAGUCAUGGGAUUUUGAAAUAUCAAUAUCUUGCUUGCUUAUUAGCUUAGAUUUUGGUCUUCAAUGCAUGAUAUACUCGUGGUUUUAACAUGUGUUAUCCUUGCGUAAAUCAUGUUCCUAAUCCUGUCAUGUGAGUUUAAGCCUAUGAAACUUGGGGCACGUUUGGCGGGCCGGACAAGAUUGGAAUUGGUAUUUCAGGCUAGUUAGGUUAGGAUUGAACUGGAUAGGUUAGAUUUUUUGUCUAAUGAUUGGUGUAGACUGCCUCAACUAGACUAGGAACGGUGGGAUUUAAAACGUGAAACAGAUCGGCGACAUCCCAACAAUGACCCACCCAACAACUCUGCUCGUGACUUGCAACACCACUCGUACCCUCCACGCCCCUUGCGGCCCGUCAGACCACUCUGAUAUCCUGGAGGAGUGAAACGUGGUUACUAGAAGCGUACCUGUUUUCGUAUUAAUGCACGGUUGAAUCAGCUUUCAUUGUCUACAAGUCUGAAAUAUUUCAACUUCCAUUGAUUUCAGAUAACAAAGCAGAUUCAAGCUGUGAAUGAGGUGUAUAAGCUUCACAAUCUUCCUGAAUUUUACAAGGUUAGCUUUUUCGUGCUUUUCAAACUCGAAAUUACUUACUGAAUAUAUGACAAUAUAUUGGAGCAAAUGAUUGUGCCUGAAUGCUACUCAUUGCUCAAAAAACUAAAUCACUUCAUGGGGGUGUUGGUGAUCACAGGAUCCGCGCCCUCACAUCUCGGUAGCUUGGGCAUUGGGUGACAUCAGCAAUUCCCUGAAGAAAGUGGUUGAAGAAGAAAGACGAAGAUCUACCAUCGGAGGAUCGUUACAGAAAUGUAUUUUUACCAGUAAAUUCAAUGGUAUCGAAUGUAGGAUUGGUAAUAAAACACACAAAAUAUGUAAAUUUUCUGAACAAUAAUGUAGCCAUUUAACUAUAUUGUGAAAUUCCGAGACUGUAUCGCUGAGCAUUGGAUGAGAAGACAUUUCUUCGUUGGUGUCGAACUUUAUGCCGAAGGUAUUGACUCAGGUAUUGUCUCAGCCUCCUGUAUUGUCUCAAUUUCUCCAAACUUAUGUGAAUGCUAAUAACAAUUCCCUUGUUAACUGUUGAGAUGAGUAACAAAACAGUUUUGAUUCCGUGCAUAAAGGCGAUCUCUUGGAAGAAAUUGAUUCUUCAACAGAAAGAUGUUUUAAAACAAAUUUGAAGGGAAGAAAAUAUUUGAAUCACAUUCAGAUGUCUGGUCAAAUUCUUGAACAGUUGAUAUACACAGAAGUUCCUUGUUUAUGUCAUGACUUAUGAGAGGAUGUAUGUAUUGCAUUUGCAUCAAAAGAGAGAAAGAAGGUUCUAAGUGGAAGGGAACGACUAACGAUGGUGUUGCGCUUCUAAUCAAAGGGAUCGAUCCGAGGGUCGUGUUCACUUGCCAUCGCCAUUCCAGUGCAACGGCAUGUAGGGCACAUUACCUGCCACAUUAAAGGCGCAAUGUUAGAUAUACUUGCCAUUUGGAAGUCACCCCUAAAAAAUUUGCUACAAAAUUAUCUUAAACUUCAUUUCCAUGGCAAUUUUUUUCUUCCGAAAUGUCUUUCGCGUGCCCAACAAACACAAGUAUCAGUCACCAAACAUGUGAAUCAGCUAUUCCUCAAUGUAUACAAUGAAACAAGAACAUCUACGCGGCAGGCAACAAGACAAAUUUAGUAAGCUAUAAGCAUUCAAUGGACAUAAUUAUACGUCUAACCUUUCCCGCUCCUGAGCAAUUUGAACAUCUUUCAGUCUUUGGCAGUGAUAGGGGCUGGUUUCCACCAUCAACUGUUGAUACUGGUUCUGUAAGAACAAGGGUUCCAGUGCUGGAGCAACGAGCACAAGCAAGAUAUCCUGCACAAGUAUUAAAUACACCGGUUAGUUGACAUAUGAAACCAAUCCGAACAUCUCCAUCGUAUAUAUUUAAAGCUACAGUACAUACAACUAAAAGUGAGAAACAUAGGACGUUAUCACACCAGUUCCAAGACAAUAUUUGCAUCGUUUAUGCUCCUGCAGUUUCACAUUGUUUAUUUCAACUACCAUCAAUGCUGAGAUCACUCCAACUGCUCCUCCAGAGAACGACGCUACGAUGGGAUCAACUUGACUGCAGUUGGAAAGCAUAGGAGAUCAAUAAACGAAACUGGUAACAAAACAGUAUCAACAUUAUUUAGCUUCAUGUCAAGAUAGAGCCAUACCUCAACUUCAACGGCAGAUGCAUAUUUACUAUAAAGUCUUUAUAUGAUGUGCCUCCUGUUGAGCAAAAAUAAAUCACAUGGGUUUUGCACAUAAAGUUACAAACUUUCAAGGACUAAUAAGCUGUCUGCAAUCUCAUACAUUUCACAGUGCAAAGUAACAAUCCAAAGUUUGGAACUUUAAAUUUCCACCUUCUGUUAAUUUCCUAGAGAGAAAAGAAGGGGGGGAGAGUACCCGGCGGGGUUUGUAUCAGCGGCGGGAUUGGGAUCAGAAUCGACAGACGGAGCGAAAGAGGAGGAGUCGGGUUCCGAAGCCAUGGCCAGGGACCGCCAUCUGGAGCUGCUUGUUGAUAUGGGGCUUCUUGGGUAGCUGAAUUUGGAGCAGCCGGCGCUAUGCAGUUUGUACGGACUGCACCGAUUUACGGGGAAAGACACGUCCAAAAGUCUGCCGGUGCAGAGCAUCUCUCUCUCUCUCUCUCUCUCUCUCUCUCUCUCUCUCAAACCAGAAGGUAGAGCUUUCUGUUUCUCAACAGGUUUCCUUCACUGGUAAAUUCCAGAGAAGCAGAGAAGAAGGCUCUCUGAGAAAUGGCGAUGGUGCAAGUGGAGACAAAACAAACGUAAAUCUUGAAGUACCGAACAUGUGCAGAAGAACACUUGUCAACUACCGAACUCUAGGAUUAGGGGAGAGUGAGUGACCGGCCAAAAAAAAAAAUGGAGGGGAAGUGGCUUAUUCUUCUCUCAUUUUUUAUUCCUUGUUUUUCAGGGAAAAAAAAAUAGAUUUUUAGUGGAACUAGUAUCGAAAAUUUAUUAUACGAUGAUAAAUGUCGAAAAUAAAAAGUUAAGUGCGGUGAUCGUCUUUGAAAUUUUGGAGAUUCUAUGUGGUCAAAUACAUCGUUCUUUCCAAAAUUGCCACUAUUGAGAGGAUUACUUGCCUCACACAAACAUUUUACAUUUACUUAGAACUAGAAAGACAAGAAUUGCAGGUGAUGAAUUGCUCUAAUCAUGGGGUUUAUUUUUUAACUCAUUACGUUUUGAGUUUAAACAUUUUUCCCUCUCUUUGAUAUACAUAUAUAUAUAUAUAUUAAUGUAAAAUAUCGUUCAUAAUAAAAAAUAAAAAAAAUUAAAAUGAUACACUUAUCCAAUGUGAAAUAAUUUUAAUGAGUGACCCAAUUUACUAUUUUCAUUUCUUACAAGUUUAAAAUUACACAAAUACUUUGCAUACAUUUUUUUAAAAAGAAAUUUUCUAUUAUUAUGAAGAGAGUUCAAAACUAUUACAUUAUGGAAGGAGUUUUGAACUCGAAACACAUGGGUAGAAACCUAACGCCUAUCUAUUAGGAUAUUAGACCACCAAAGCUGGUCCUAAGAUUUUUGGUGCCUGCAUCAAAUGUGUCUUUUCCAGUACAACAUAAAUAAAAAAAUAUAUAUUUAAGGGUAAAUUACAUAGUAGCCCUUCAGGUUUGAACUCUAUUGCAAUCUUAUACAACAUCUUUAAAACAUUUCACUUUCAUACCUCAAGUACUAUUUUAUUUCAAUUUCAUACAACCGUUAAAUUUUCCAUCCAUGGAUCUAUUAAAUGUUGACGUGACUGCCACAUAUAUGACAUGUGGCUGCCAAAUGUCUGCCACGUGGCAAAUAAAAUAAUUUUUUAAUUUUUUUUUUAUAAAAACAUAUCUGCCACCUUUUUUUUCUCUUUCUUCUGGGUUCGAUCCCUUUCUUCUUCUUCUGCAUCUUCUUCUCCUCCUCCUCCUCCUCCUCCUCCUCGUUCUUCUUCUUCCUCCUUCUGGGUUCGGACCCUUUUUUUUUUUUUUUUUUUUUUUUUUUUCUUCUUCUUCUUCUUCUUUCUCCUCCCUCCUCUUUCUUCUUCUCUUCUUCUUCUUCCUCCUUCUGGGUUCGGUCCCUUCUUUUUUUUUUCUUCCAAUUUCAGGUUUUUUUAAAAAAAAUUAAAAAAUUAUUUUAUUUGACACAUGGCAGACAUUUGACAACCACAUGUCAUAUAUGUAGCAGCCACGUCAGCAUUUAACAGAUCCAUGGAUGGAAAAUCUAACGGUUGUAUGAAAUUGAAAUAAAAUAGUACUUGAGGUAUGAAAGUGAAAUGUUUUAAAGACGUUGUAUAAGAUUGCAAUAGAGCUCAAACCUGAGGAGCUACUAUGUAAUUUACCCUAUAUUUAAAGAGGGCUGGAACCAGUCGAAGCUUUUUUUUUGGGAGGGGGGGGCUAGGCCCUCACACCCAUAUUAGAUUACUUGAAUAAAAAAUAUACAACGGGCGGAAUCAUAGUACCGAAACCCCAACAAUAAAAAAUAAAAUCACAUACAACCACUCCAAGAAAUCAACAUGACUAUUACAUAUUAAAUCCAAAAGGUCAACGCCUAUUCUCAGCAUAUAAUGCACUGCACAGAAGAUAACAACAUCUGAAAAGAUGAACAUAUGCAUCAACAUAUAAGUUAACCAUUCUAAGUGCAAAUUUAGAAGUGAUAUGCUCCAAGUAUGAUAUUGGACAGAAGAGCGGCAGCUUCAUCCAGUUCUGCCAUAUCCGGCUGGAUGAGAGCAGCUAAAGACAUGAUUGUUCCCUAAUAACAUGAAUAAAUUGAGUAAACACCAGAAGUAGCAGCAAGGGAAGGAGAUGUGAAGUAGAUGAAGAGGUGUAAGACGAAGACCUGUGAAUGUCCAGCAACAAAGACUUCUGAGCUUGUUGUCGAAUAUCUGCAGCGCAUCAUUUCUGGUAGAUUAAAUAGAGCCAAUUCCUGCCAACUCCAAUUCCAAAAAUCCUACAGUACAGCAUAAAUCUUAUUCUCUUCUGAUAAAGAUGCGAGUCCCUGACUCCAACGUGUUUGACACACAUUCCCUACCCAUACAUCGAAACCUUCAUCUGCAAGGACGAAUCCCAGUUAUUCUUCUGGAGAAUUUAAGAACCAUGCAUCACCUGGUCAAGAUCAAGAAAAGCCAAAAACCAAUUACAAUUGAGUUUGAAGCACAUUAGAGCCUAAUUUAAAAUGUAUCCGAUGGAUGUUCAUCAAUUUACACAAUAGUUCGUUUCAAGAAAGGAAAUUUCAACAGAACCUAAAAACCGUCGAAGUAUUAGAAUUAUUAGGAUUCUUCCGUGUUUGUUGCUUAGUUAAUUACUUAUUUUGUUAAUAAUGCCCUGGUUUGUAGGGUAAUCUGUUUGUUUGAAUUGGUCUUAGACCCACUUACACGUUCUUAGGGUUUGUUGUGAACGUGAAGCUUAUUUUUCUCUUUUCCGUUGUAACAGGCUUGUAUAAAGCCUUUGCUUUUGCAAUUCAAUACAUAUGCUUUUCAGCCUAAACUAGCAAACUAGCGCUGAGAUCCAACAUCUGGUAUCAGAGCCUCUUAACUGAGGCCUGAUUGAGUGAGAUUAGUAAAAGAGAGAAAAGUCAGAGAAUCAUGGCGACAGAGAACAGCAGCUUUGUUCAGCCAGCAAUUCCACGGUUUGAUGGUCAUUAUGAUCAUUGGGCCAUGCUCAUGGAGAACUUCCUCAGAUCAAAGGAGUACUGGGGCUUGAUAGAGAAUGGGAUUUCUGCAGCAGCAGAAGGGGUAGAGCCAACAGAGGCACAACGAAAGGUUAACGAAGACCAGAAACUGAAGGAUUUGAAGGUCAAGAACUAUCUAUUUCAAGCUAUAGAUAGGACUAUUAUUGAGACCAUACUCAAUAAGGAGACUGCGAAGGCUAUCUGGGAUUCAAUGAGACUGAAGUAUCAAGGCUCUACCAAGGUGAAGCGCGCUCAGCUACAGGCCUUGAGGAGAGAGUUUGAGCUUCUUGGCAUGAAGGAGGGUGAAAAAGUCGAUGAGUAUUUUGCCAGGACAUUGACCAUCGCCAAUAAGAUGAAGGCGCAUGGAGAAAGGAUGGAGCAGACUGUGAUCAUUGAGAAAAUUUUGAGGUCAAUGACUCAAAUUCAAUUAUGUCGUCUGCUCGAAAGAAGAGUCCAAUGACCUAUCCAUCAUGACUAUAGAUGAACUUCAAAGUAGCCUGUUAGUCCACGAACAGAGGAUGCAAGGACAGAAGGAAGAGGAACAUGCUUUGAAUAUCACCAAUUCAGGGCAAAGUAGAGGAAGAGAUGAGCACAGAGUUGAAGGGAGAGGAAGAGCUCGUGGAGGCUUCAGAGGAAGAGGCCAAGGCAGGGGUAGACAACCUUUCAACAAAGCCUUGGUCCAGUGCUACAAUUGCCAGAAACUAGGGCAUUAUCAAUAUGAAUGCCCUAGUGGGGAUAAAGGUGCGAAUUACGCAGAAUUAGAUGAGGAAGAAGAGAUGCUUCUAAUGGCGUACGUGGAGGUAAAUCAAUCAAAGAGGGAGAGUGUAUGGUUCCUUGACUCAGGCUGCAGCAACCACAUGUGUGGUAACAAGGACUGGUUCUUUGAUCUCGACCAAACAUUCAGACAAUCGGUGAAGCUCGGAGAUAACUCAAGGAUGAUGGUUAUGGGAAAAGGAAAUGUGAAGCUUCAUGUCAAUGGAUUAACUCAGGUGAUCACAGAGGUUUAUUUUAUACCCGAAUUAAGAAAUAAUCUCUUAAGCAUUGGCCAGCUUCAAGAAAAGAAGUUAGCUAUUCUCAUCCAGGAUGACAUGUGUAAGAUUUACCAUCCAAGAAGAGGCUUAAUUAUACAAACACAGAUGUCAACCAACAGGAUGUUUGUUGUGCUUGCUUCUGUGAUCUCUCCAAACUCAACCUGUCUCCAAGCCACAUCCGAAGACAACACACAAUUGUGGCAUUGCCGGUAUGGACAUCUAAAUUUCAAGGGGUUGAGGACUUUGCUUCAUAAGAACAUGGUCAGAGGGUUGCCGAUGCUCAAGGUUUCAUCAAAAGUGUGUGGUGAUUGUAUGGUUGGAAAGCAACACCGCAAAGCAAUACCGAAGAAAAGCAUGUGGAGGGCAUCUAAGAAGCUUCAACUGGUCCAUGCAGAUAUUUGUGGACCUAUCUCACCGAAAUCAAACAGUGGCAAAAGGUACGUAAUCACCUUUAUUGAUGAUUACAGUAGAAAAACCUGGGCAUAUUUUUUAUCUGAAAAAUCUGAAGCAUUAGCUAUGUUUAAGAAGUAUAAGUUGUUUGUGGAAAGGGAGAUUGGUGAGGUGAUUUGCUGCUUAAGAACCGAUAGAGGUGGGGAGUUCACCUCACUCGAAUUCAACAAUUUCUGUAGCAUGAAUGGGUUUAAAAGGCAGCUUACCGCAGCUUAUACCCCGCAGCAAAACGGAGUUGCCGAGAGGAAGAAUCCUAAUAAUUCUAAUACUUCAACAAAAACAUCAGAUCAGGGGGCACCAAAUAGUGAGCUAUACAUUCAAAACUUGAAAUAAUCAACUUAGUGGGACCAAUAUGUUGAAAAAAUUGGAAGGAGCUAUGAAAGUAAGGCUUUUCACUAAUCAAGCAUCCAGAGAAUCAAUAUUUUACUCACGUAUCAGUUACGGGGAACACUCCCCACCAAAGCAAUCCCAUUAGUCCUUCACAUCUCAAAUCCAGUAAGUACCCAUCUUUCGUCUGAAUCUGGAAAUUAAGCAGCAGUGAAUUUAACAAUCUGGGUAUCUCAAAGGUACUCACUUUAAUCACAAAUUUAACAAUUAAACAGAUAAAUGGGCAUUUUUUUUUUUAGUGAAAUAUUAGUAUAGUACUCACUGUGUGCUCAGAGCAAGAGUACCCAGAAAGCUCAAUGAGCUGCGCACAGAGGACUGCAGCGGUGAACGACAGCGACAGAUUCUGUAAAAUUCAGUCGAGUUUUGGAUGAUUUCUGCAGCAAUUUCGGAGGUCAAGAGGCUGAUAAGCAAAGCUGCGACCGAAGGGCAAGGCACUGGUCCGGAAGAAAGGCUCAGGUCACCUCUGUCCCGAUUCGCGAAGGAAGAAGUGCUCCCAAAACAAUUUCGGCCCUGGACAGGUGCCCUGCUUGCACUGGACCAGGGCUGGCCCUGGCGAUAACGUCUCCCAAACAGUACAUAUACAGAUGCUAGAAAUAUAUAAAUGUAACCUGAAACUACUAGAACCAUUCAAUUCUAGCGUCGACAGCUUUAGCAUUAGUUGGUACAAGGGACAUUCUCCCAAAGAGGGAGAUGAACUCGUUGAGGCUCUUAUUUAUUCCUCCUCUUGAUGUGCCCUUUUAGGCUGCUAAUUCCAAACAAUCCAAUCUCAUACAUCUUCCCUGCAAAAGCAUGUGUGCUAGACUUCAAGAUUCAAAAUCUUGACAAAUGUGUACUUUUGGCAGAUUUUAUGUGAGCAUGAAACUAAAACUGGCAUCACUAUCAAUGGUGCACAAAGAUUGGCGGAAAAACGUAAAGGGAAGCAAUCACAAAGCAAAAUGUACGAAGUAAUCUGUCCACAUAUUGGGAAAACUUUUACAGUUUGAGUUGUAACUUCUCCGUUGUAUUUGUUAACUAUGCAAUUUUACUGAUGAAUGCAGAGUUUGCUGAUGAUUCAUACGACAAGCAACUGAAAAUCCCAUCAUUAUACACAAAUUCAGAGGGCUCAUCCACUGUAAUUUGCAUAUAUAGAAAUGUUAUGAUUAAAAGAAAUGCAAUGUACCUUUCACCCAAAUUGGAGGAGCACCGAUGGCAUUAUCAAGUUCACAACGUGAAUUGACAUACCAAUAUCUUCACAGUUUCUGCACUAGCACAAAUCAAAAGAAUCCGGCGGUGGAGUAAUGUGCCUCUCCUUGGAAAAUGCCACCUCUUGGGAUUUCAAAAUAUGCGGCCGUGGCUAGCCCUCUGACCACGCCAAUUCCAUCAAAGCUGCUGCAACGAGCACCCAAGCCAAAACAGAGCUUCGUAUCCAUGUGUUUAUCAGCAAAGAGCACCCAAAACCGUGAAAAAUAUUUCUUUAUUCAGAUAAUAAAAUUUCCCAAAUUUCGAAAUUUUAUUCCGAAUCAAAAGUACAUACCUAGAAAUCGACGUGGGGGUGGAGUGGGACCCCGGCCAGGACGGAUCUCUGUGUCUGUGAAAACCCAUGCCAAAUUACAGAGAGUGUUGGGAAGAUGUACAAGGCUUUUGCCGUUUCUCAGAUCUAAAUACCGAAGCCCCGUAAGCCGUUCAAUCCAGGGGGAAAGCUCUUUGAUAGAUGUUCCAUCCAAGAAAAGACAUCUUAAUCCUUCCAUAUUUUCUUCAAUGCUUGGAAACACCUCAAAUUUUGUACAACCGGAAAGAGAGAGAACGAGAAGGGACUUGAGCUGACAAAUGCUGCUCGGAAGACUCUCAAGUUCCUUACAAUUUUCUAGCUUCAAAUGUUUCAAUCCCGUAAGAUUAUUAAUUGACGAGGGCAGUUCUUUAAUUUUCGACCCGGAUAACUCAAAAACUUUUAACCCCUCAAUCACUUCUGAAAUCUCUGGAAACAUCUCAAGACUCCAGCAACCAUUAAGAUCAAAGGUUUUGAGAGAUUUCAUACGAAUGCUGCUUGGAAGACUCUUAAGUUCCUUGCAACCUUGUAGAUUCAAAUGACACAACCUCGUAAGAUUAUUAAUUGACGGGGACAGUUCUUUAAUUUUUGAGCAGGGUAAAUCAAGCUUUUCUAACCCCUCAAUACCUUCUGAAAUCGAUGGAAACAUCUCUAGACUGGAGCAGCCAUCAAGAUUAAAGGUUUUCAGACAUUUCAUAUGAAUGCAGCUUGGAAGACUCUUAAGUUCCUUGCAAUUUUUUAGGUUGAAAUGACUCAACCCCGUGAGAUUAUUAAUUGACUCGGGCAAUUCUUUAAUUUUUGACCCGGAUAAAUUAAGCUCUUCUAACUCCUCCAUACCUUCUGAAAUCUCUGGAAACAUCUCAAGACUGGAGCAAUCAGAAAGAUCAAAGGUUUUGAGAGAUCUCAUACGAAUUUUGCUAGGUAGAAUCUUAAGUUCCUUGCAAUCUUUUAGGUUGAAAUGACUCAACCCCGAGAGAUUAUUAAUUAACAGGGGCAGUUCUUUAAUUUUUGACCCGGAUAAAUUAAGCUCUUCUAACUCCUCCAUACCUUCUGAAAUCUCUGGAAACAUCUCAAGACUGGAGCAGUCAGAAAGAUCAAAGGUUUUGAGAGAUCUCAUACGAAUUUUGCUAGGUAGAAUCUUAAGUUCCUUGCAAUCUUUUAGGUUGAAAUGACUCAACCCUGAGAGAUUAUUAAUUGACAGGGGCAGUUCUUUAAUUUUUAACCCGGAUAAAUUAAGCUCUUUUAACUCCUCCAUACCUUCUGAAAUCUCUGGAAACAUCUCAAGACUGGAGCAGUAAGAAAGAUUAAAGGUUUUGAGAGAUCUCAUAGGAAUUUUGCUAGGUAGAAUCUUAAGUUCCCUGCAAUUUGAUAGGUUCAAAUGACUCAACCCCGUGAGAUUAUUAAUUGACGGGGGCAGUUCUUUAAUUCUUGAUCCGGAUAAAUCAAGCUCUUCAAACCCCUCAAUCACUUCUGAAAUCUCUGGAAACAUCUCAAGGUUCGAGCAACCAGAAAGAUUAAAGGUCUUGAGAGAUCUCAUACGAAUUUUGGUAGGUAGAAUCAUAAGUUCAUUGCACCCAUGCAGAUCCAAUAAAACAAGGUUUGAAAGAGUCGAAAUAGAUGGGUGAACCUCAACUAAGCUUAUACAACUUCGAACAAUUAGCCUCUCAAGAUUUGGCACAUUUGUGAAGUCAGGGGUUUCCUUAAGGGAUUGACAAUUACUUAAAUUGAUGAAUUUCAACUUUUCCUGUGUCUGUUAAAACAUUCAGGAAAACAUGCAUUACUUAAUAAGACAUCUCACUCAAAGCCCAAACAUUUAAAAGAAACAAAUACAUGUAAAUGAUUGUACGUACCUGGGUUCCUUCCCAAAGUCGGUCAAUGAGACUAUAUUGCAUGUCAAGUUCAACAAGAUUUUCGAAUUGAAAGUUGGAUGGCAAAGACUUGAGAGGGAAACCAAGCCAGGAGAGAUAUCUCAAGUUAAGCAACUUUAAGGACCCAAACAGGUGGUGUUUGCAGCACUCAUCUUUAAAAACGAAGUGCCUAUAAAUGAUCUUGAGAAGUCUUCGUUGAGUCCUUCUAACAACAGCUUCAGCAUUUAUGUGCCUAUGAUUGAUCUUGAGAAGUCUUAGUUGAGUCAUUCUAACAAAAGCUUCAGCAUUUAAGCAUGGCCAGCUUGAGUACGAGAAAUCCACAAUUAUGCUUUCAACUGUUUUUGUAGCCUGUGCAAAUCAAAGUAAAGGAAAAUACAGAGAACCUUAGUUUUGAUUAUGAAAUUAAUGAUUGUUUCUUAAGGAGCCGUCUGAUAAUCAUUUCAUUUUCUGUUUAAUUGUUUUCAAUUUUCAUUAUUAAAACAAUGAAAACUAAAAAUUGAAAACAAAAAUGGUUAUCAAACAGGCCUAAGAAAUUGAUUUUGAUCAAAAGUUGAACCUUUCUACUAACAAUUGCAUAAGAAAAAGAUUUCUCACCGUAUUUUCAGUUAGCACCUCACAAACAUCUUCAUAACUCCACAACCUACUUCGUCUCCCAGGAUCUUUGCUAGAUUCUUGGCGGACAAUUUCCCGACCCAUUUCCUCUAAUGAAUCAUGCAUCUCCAAUACCCCCAACGUUGAGACAGUUAUGAGAGCUCGAUCAAUUAGAACUUUUAUUCCUGUAUGAGGAUGGAAACCACAACUGUCCAGAAUUUCAGUUGCCUGGUCUUCCUUCAUCCCUCUAAAGAAACAUGCAAUAUCUAGAAAGAUGUCCUUCUGUGUGUCAUCUAGUCCAUCGAAGCUUGUUUUAAGCACAUCAUGAACUCCCCUUUGUGGGAUUUUCCUUAUUUUUUCUAACUCACCUUCCCACACGCGUAUAGUUUUUUUAUGCAAAAAAGCUCCCAAGACUUUGAGGGCUAAAGGCAGACCUUGAGCAUAUUCUACAACACGAUUCGAGAGAUCAUAAUAAUCUCUGUUGGGUUGGUCAUUUUUGAAGGCGUACUGCCAAAAGAGUUCCAGAGCUCCAUAAUAACUCAAAGUCCGGGGAUUAUAUAUCACAUCAGUUAUGCUUAGUAACUGCGAAUCUCUACUUGUUAUAAUAAUCCUACUUCCAACACCAAAGGAACGUUUCUUUCCAAGUAAAGCUUCAAUUUGUUCUGAUUCGUCCACAUCAUCAACAACAAUAAGAACUUUUCUCCGACCAAGUCUUUUUAACAUCUUCUUAAAACCAUAUUUUGAUAUGUCAGAACUCCCCACCUUGUUGUUCGAUAUACUCGAUAGAAGUUGUGUCUGCAUAUGUGGUUUGCCAUGCUUCAUGAAACCCUCCUUGACGUUUUCAAGAAAGCAAGAAGCUUCAAAUCGACAUGCGAUUUCAUCAUAAACUGCUCUAGCGAUGGUUGUUUUGCCUAAACCACCCAUACCCCAUAUUCCAACAACGCGAACAUUAUUCGCUUCACCUCCGGGAGGAUAUAAUAAUAAAUGCAUUUCAUGCAUGUGAGAAUCCAUGUCAACCAAGCCAUUAUCUUUGCUUGAUGUUGAUGAGAUGUCGAUCAAUUUCCUAUAAACAUAUUCUACAAUUUCCUCAAUAAGCUCUGCAUCAUUCCUGUCAAAUUAAAAAAAACAAUAUAAUAACACCACCAAAUAAUAAUUAAUGGGUUUUUUCAUCUGUUAGUUAAAAAAAAAAACAGAAAUUAAAACUAAAAACUAGAUAUUUAUAAAAUUACCGCAAAACGUUACAAAAAUCCCAAAAAUUAAUAGGAAACUAAAACAAAUUAGAAUUUACUCAUAUUUUCGCGAAUCCCAGCCGGAUAAACUGGUGGCAGUUGUAAGAGCGGAUCUCCAGCUCUGAACCUCUUCCAUUUCAGCGUUAGAAUCACGAUCGUGCUGAGCAAAAGCUUCCUCGAAUUUUCUCUUGAGUUUACGAACGUCAGACGGAUCAACUUCAUAGAAAAUGGGGAGUACAAUCUGGUUAUUGGUAUCCUUGCAUUUCAAGAUUUGCACGAGUUCUUUCAAGCACCAAGUGGAAGAAGCAUAGUCUUGAGAGAAAACUACAAUCGAAAGCCUUGACUCUCGAAUCGCUGUCAGGAGCUCAGAAAGGUGGUCGCCUUUUCUGAGCUUCUCGGCAUCAAUGAAGGCGUUGAUUGGUUUCUUAACCAGAGCGUUGUAGAGAUGGCUGACGAAGCCCCUGCGAGUGUCUUCCCCUCUGAAAUUGAUGAACACAUCGUAUUUGCAACCAAGGCCAGAAGAAGAUGAAGAAGAAGAAGCAGCCAUUAUUAAUCGAUCGCACCUGGUCAGCGACGAUCGAGCAGCUAAGACUAAGAGAAUUGUAAGUACAGAGAUACUCAAUAGAUCUACAAAUUGGAUCACCGGAAAUUAGUCUGAUCGAUACCAAGUCAAUGAGUCAAUGCAAAAGGGAAAAAGGGGAAAGUGAAAUUAUGCUUUAUGUUUUUUCACAUCUUCUUCGGGGAAAUUUCGGUGUGAAAGGAAUCUUAUCCUUUUGAUUUUUUAACCGAAGCAAAUGCGAAGAAAAGGGUCAAAGUGGAAAAUUGAAUAUACACUUGCCUAUCCAACAACCUCUUAAUUUAAUAUAUUUAAUUGAGAAAAGUAGUUUAGAGGAAUGAUGGUAUCUCCUUUUCUUCUCACUCAAUCUUCCGGCAUGCGAUUUAAUCAUUAUUAAAGCCAAGCUUAAUAAUAGGUCGUAUUAUUUAGGUCGUAUUGGAUUAUAAGUUUUUGUUGUGAACUUGUGAUACGAUAGUUGAAAAAUUAAAAAAAUUAUAAUUUAAAUGUACGCGGUGAAAUCUGUUAGAAUUUAGAUUCAAAAUUGAAAAUUUUAUUAACUUCGUUAAUUAUUAGCACACGAAGCUCACAAAUGAAAUAAAAUAAUAAAAUGUAAUCUUCACGUGCUAACAAUUAAUGGAGAGUUUCAUUUUAACCUAAAAUGUGUGGCUUACGUACUAAUAAUUAACGGAAUGUUGAUAAAAUUUUCAAUUUUAAGCAUAAAUCUUAAUAAACUUCAUCACAUGAGCUUAAAUCCUAAUUCAACUAUCUUCUCACUACCUUACCUUACCACUAAAAAAAUUAUUAAUCAAAUUAAGCUUAUUACUUACUUACAAAUACGUAACUAAAUCACUGAAAGCUAUCUCCGUUUCUUUGCUGGGUGGACAGCUGUCUCUUUGUCUUCUUUUGGCAGAUAGCUACUAGACUCCUAGGCCUCGUUUGUUUGACGUCCUUAGCUAGGACUGGACUAGCUAGGACUAAUAACCCUUGUUUGGUGCAAGCCGAGAUUGAGUUUAGUGGGAUUAAGUAGGACUCGUGCCGACUAAAUCCUUCGUUAGCUGGGCUUAGCGAGAGCCCCCGAAAAGGAGGGGAUUGCUAGUCCCGUUUCCUCGUCUUCCCUCUCACGCCGCGUCCUCGUGCUCGUCCUGCACGACUGCACCAUCUCUGACGACGACUCGUCUUCCUCCACCCACCCCCUUGCCGUCUGCAACUCCAAUCCCCACCCAUGGAAGAACAAGUGAAUUAAAGCAGCUAAUUUGCAAGAACAAGUGUAAUCAGAGCAAAAAAGUCAAUAAAAAUUCGAACGGAAGAGAGUAGAGAGAUGAGUGGAGCCUACCUCCUCCUCGUCUCGUAACACACGGACUGGAUCCAUCUUUGCUCCUUCCAAUCUCAGAAUUUUUUGUUUUUCACUUUGACGGACGACAAAUUCAAACACAAGCCAAGAUCAUAUUCAGUCAUGCAUUUCCUCAGAAGGCGGCACACUGCGAGAUGAACUUGAUUGGUGUUUUGUUUUUGGGAUUUGACCAAAAUCGUAAAGGCAGAUUUUCUUCAUCUGAGAACUGGAGAAAAAUUGGGAAAGUUUUGUUUGUUGGGAAGGGAAAGGAACGGUAGAGAUAAGGGAGAAAGAAUUAAAAUGAACAAAAGAAAAAUAUCUGAAUUUUAAAAAUAAUUUAGUCCGGUACUGCACCAAACGCUUCACUAAGUUAGUCAUGCUUAGUCUAGUCCAAGCCAGUCCAGCUUAGUCCCUGAACCUAGUCCAGUCCGAGAUAGUCCGGUGCAACAAACGCACCCCUAGUGGCCGGCCUAUUUUCCACAGCUGGUAUAGGACUCAGUUGCUAUACAAGAAGUGUUAUGUUGUAAUUCACUAUUGAUGGAAAUCCAACAGAAUCUUCUUCGACUUGUUGUGAGGAUUUGGGAUAUUUAUGAAUCGUAUCCAUUUAUCGUAUAUUGUGGGAUCAGUUUUUAUUAAAUAGUAUUUGUGUUUAAUUUUAAAUAAAAAAAUUUAAAAUAAAAUUUUACCGCACGAUAUACUAUGAACGAAUACAAUUCAUAGAUCUCCAAGAUCCUCACAAGGAGAAUCCAAAAAGGAUCCGGAUUCAAUGGAAAUAUUCGUAAAUGAUCCGGAUUCAAUGGAAAUAAGCUAAUUUUGAAUCAAAUAACAUUACUUUAUUUUGUAAGUAAAUUAAUUUUAAAUCAAACAACAUUAAUUUAUUAUGUAGCUAAUUAAUUUUGUAUGUGUCAUCAUAUAUAUUAGGCGCAUUUUAUUAUAGGUGAUUUUGUGGUAUUCAUCUUCAUUUAUAAGUAAAAAGUCUUAGGUUCGAUUCUCACAAAAGUGAAUUUGAACCAUAUUAUUGCUAGUCCAUUAUGAGGCCUAACCCACCCUCCUCCCCCUUAGUGUAGAUAGAUCGUUUGUUCAAAAAAAUAUAUAAUCAAAAUAGAACGUGAAGCGAAACAAUAGAUCAACAAUAUUUAUGUUAAUUAUAAAUAGGUCAACUAUGUAUGUGAUACUUAAAUUCAUUUAAAAUAAAAUAAAAUUACAAAAUCUGCCACUACAGUUGGCACGCACUUCAAUUAACAUUUUCUUUCUCAUAAUUUUUAUAUUUGGAAUGAGUCAUACGAAUCAAAUACUGCAAUGUAUUGUCUGUUUUCUGAUUCUAUUUUUUUACAUUUGGAUUCAGACACUGUGUUGUAGUGUCCAUUUAUUGGUUUCGUUUUUUCCAUCAGUCACACGCCUCCUACAUGUUCCUUUGUACAUUUGGAUUUAGACAAUGCAAUGCAGUGUCUGUUUCUUGGUUUUGGUUUUCCCUUUUGGAUUCAAACGCUGCAUUGCAAUGUAUGUUUCCUAGUCCUAUUUUUUUCAUCAUCCACACGUCUUCUACACUUCACACUUUCACGCGACUCCUGAUUUUUACAUUCAGAUUCAGACAUUGUAAUGCAGUGCUCAUUUCCUACCUCUGAUUUUUACAUUUAAAUCUAGGGUUAAACUCUGUUUACUACCCUCAUGUUUCGUGGUUUUCAACAUAUAGUACAUCAAGUUUUUUUCAUCCCAGUCAUACCUAAAGUGUUAAUUUUGGGACAGUCUCGUAUAUCUGUUAGUCAAACUGUUAGUUCUCCCGUUAAGUGAUGACAUAGCGCCCAUGUGGACAAUGACUAGGCCCCAAGUGUCAUUAAAAAAUAUUAAAAUAAUUAAUUAAAUAAAAGUUAUAAAAAAAAUCAUCCCUUCUCUCCCUUCUCCCCUCGCUGUCACACCCCGAUCCAGACAUACGUCCAAAGAUCGACACGUGACGUCACUAAAUGCCCGUAACUCAACGUACCCUGCCUUUUGGAUAUGUACAAAAUAUAAUUCCAGAUCCAGAUGCAUAAUAAUUUUGUGUAUACUUUAUGGCUGCAUCUAACCUCUUCGUUAGACUGCCUACGUACCCUCAAUAGGGAUCAAGUCAUUCGUAGUUCAACUUUUCACUACACUCGAAUAUUUAUCACAUAAAUUGCCAUAUUUCAACAUAAUGCACAAUUCAGAGCAUGCAACAUCUCAAGGAACAAUCGACGAGGUGCAAUAAUAAUCUAUAGCCAUAUUGGUCAGCGGUAUAUCAUAAUCAUAACAAUUACAUCCAACAAUCACACCAAAUAAUAACACAUACAACACACUGACAUGCAAGGCUAGAACGACGCAGUUCGGCUGAAGCCUACAUCUCUGAAGCUGAAAUCAAAUCCAAUGAACCAAGUCACCAAAGGGAUUCUGGACCACUCAACGGAAUCAAACUCAAGAUACGAUUCCGGACCAUCACUCAACGGAAUCGUGGAGUAGUAAGGAUUCCAAACCAUCACUCAACGGAACCGGGGAGUACCAUGCAUAUAGAACCACCCAAUGUAAUACAAGCUGGAUACGAUUCAGGAUCAUCACUUAACGGAACCGGGGAGUACCAUGCAUAUAGAACCACCCAUGGAAUACAAGCUGGACACGAUUCUGAACCAUCACUCAACGGAAUCACAGAAUAGAAGGGAUUUCGAACCAUCACUCAACGGAAUCCGAGUCAGGGUACGAUUCCGGACCAUCACUCAACAGAAUCGCAGAAUCGAAGGGAUUCCGGACCAUCACUCAACGAAAUCCGAAUCAGGAUACGAUUUCGGACCAUCACUCAAUGAAAUAGAGUGGAAGAUCAAGGGAUACAACAACGGCUUGCAGAAACAAUACAAGAACCAAGUACUUAAUUUAGAAUGGCUGAAUGAAAAUAGAUCAAUCCAAUCAUACAUUACAAACCCCAUGACAGUAGGUUAACGGUCCACUACUAGCCCUCACAUUUCAUCACAUCAAUCCAAUCAUACAUUACAAACCAUAUUUCCAAAACACAAGUAAAAUCAUACUUAAUGAAAAUAGAUCGAUGGCCAGAAAUAAAAAUAACACUUCAAUAGAAUUCACAUUCAAUAAACAUAGGUCUAUGGUGUGUGUGUGUGUGUGUGUGUUGUGUUUCACAUUUCAAUAGAAUUUCAUUUAUAACCUAUAUCUUAUUCACAUAUGAUAUUAAUAUAAGAAAUCAAGGUAAUAGCUAUAUCACAUAUAUUCAAGUCACUCUCAAACCAAUGUGGUCCCACUAGGUUUCACUUAGUUCCCCGUAGUACUAAUUUUAGUAUUUAGAACGUUUCGAGACAUGUUGACCAAAAGCCAAUUCUUGGUCGACAGUAGGAUCCACAACGCUACAAAAUUUGAUCCAGAAGAUCCGAACAUCAUAAUCAAGAUCCGUAACUUCCUAGGGUCCACAUUAUUCUCAAAGAACAACGUACUAAAAUCUCAUCGCAAUCCAACGGUCAGAUCUCCGCCCAUUGCUAGAAUUAGGUGGCGGUUAACAAUUAAUUUUACUAACUUAGAAAUCUAAUUCAUGAAGAUCCGUACAUCAGAUUCCCGAUCUGUAAGUUCUUAUGAUCCCAAAAUAUUACGUACUAUAACAUAUUAAAGUUUGGUGACGAUUCAACAGUCGGAUCGUCGAUUUCUAUUUUGACUUAUUCACGUAUCAAAAUGAAACUAAGUCCAAACAAUCAAAUUACGUCAUACGGAUAUCAAACAUGAACCCAGGGCAUCUAAUAGUGCUUAAAAAGACAUCAUUGGCCCACAGGCCACGCGCCGCCGUGGGUGGCGGUCGGCCACCCCAACUAAUCGAAAAAUUCAACUAUUUUAAAAAUUCUCAAAAAAUUACAAAAUUGAAGAUCUCAAAGAGUAGAAUAAACUUUAUAUCUAUGGCCAAGUCCAAUUUGGCCUAGAAAGUCCCCAAUGUUGUGAAAACCGUACGGAAACCUUAGAAUGGGUGUGUUCGAUUUAACCUCCAAACUUGCUCUGACGCCUCCACCACUGCUUGGGAUUUGUUCAUGGGUUAUAGGGGAGUGCUUUGGUGGUAGUAGUUGAAGAGAAACAUUUCACAAUUGAUGGAUUUUGAGCAAUGGUUCCCGCGUCACCCAUGGUGCUUGUUCCCCAAAUUCCAAGACUAAUUCCACUCCAAUUUUGGGUGGAAUAGGUAGAAGGAAUGAUGAGAGAUGACUUGAAGGGGGAUGACACUGGGCUGGAUCUAUCAGCAGCGAAUUCCCCAUACAAAUAGAGGCGCCUAUCAAAAAGAUACUCCGAAGACUUCGAGAUUGAGGUAUCAUUAGCCGAAGAAGGCCUUGGCCAAUCCACGUGGCCUGCUUGACGAACGUCAGCGACAGAGACAUCAGGUGGUGGGGGACCUUCAUCUCGCCGGAAAUUGGCCGGGAGACCAUGAAUCCCGCCGAUUUGUGUCUCACGGGUCAAAAGACCCGUUUUCCACCCCCCACCUUUUUUUUCUUUUUUCCUUUGUCUCGCCACUCCUGUGGCUUUCUUUCAUUUUCAUUUUUUUUAGCAACAACUUCAAACGUCCGUAACUAUACCGUUAUAAUCCGGACUCGCAAACGGCUUUCGCCUAUGCAUUCGUGAUCUCGAUAUCUAUUCAACAAUAUAAAUUGUGACCUCGAAUGGUCUACGGAUUUUAAAUAAUUAAUUUCCCGAAAAAUAAUAUAAAAUCUCUAUAAUACCAAUAUGUAGAUUAUAAUAAUGAAAUCCAAGAAUGAGAUUUCACACUCGUCCCCAACCCAGAAGAAGAAGAAGAAAAAAAAAAAAAACCGAAUCUGCAACCCAGAAGAAGAUGAAGAAGACAUGUUUUGAAAAGUAAACUUUAAUGCAGGAAAUCAAUACUACAAAGGAAGUAGCUGAGCUAUAAAUACAGAGGAAUGUUUGAACUACAAAGGGAGUAUGUGAAGAGUAGGAUGCAAAGCUUUUUAGAAGUCUUUUUUAAUAUGUUGAGUUAAGUGUCUUUUUUUUUCAACCUUUUUGCUGCCUUUUAUAGAACCGCCAUUUUCUUCUAGAGUAAGCCUUUCCUCCUCGAUUCAUUCUCUCUGGUGCAAGCAGCUGAUAUGAUUUGUUGUCAAAGGAUGAGUUCCCACUUGUAUACUUGAGCUUUUGAUCCCCUUGAAACGUAUCAUCGUUGGCGCAUUCAUCAUAGAAGCUCCAGCUUCAUACUAUCAUAAACACCGUACAUUUGAUAUUUAUUACAAAAUUUUCCUUUCUUCUUUUGCUUUUUCUAAUAAAAAAAUUAAGGUUGAACACAACAGGCUUUGUGGUUCAAAAAUCUAAUGGAAUAUUUGAUAGAAGGGUUGGAUUGUUAGCUUUGGGCUAAUGGAGAGUUGACAAAAAUAUUAAUUUUUGGCUUGAAUCCUAACAAACUUCACCACAAGGAUUUAAAUCCGAUUUUUUUUUUUCACCAUAGGGGUAAUCUUCUUAUUAUCCUAUCACCACGGGGACCAUUGAUCCAAUUUAGCCACUAAAUCAUAUUGCAUCAACUGAACAAAUAUAUUUUUUGUAUUGACGAAGAUAGAUAUAACCGUUAAUCGAUGGAAAAUUCGUUAUUCGGUGGGUAUAAUUAUGGAUAAUUACUGAUGAUUAAUUUACGUUUAUGGAGUGGUUAUUUUCAUGGUUAUUGGGAUGGAUAUAUCAUUUCCGUCCCAAACCAAACCGUUGUCAUCCCUAUAUUUGUUUAUGAGAAAAGUUAAUGAGACUUUCUCAAAAUGAGACUCUCCAUAAACGAUCUAUGCUAACUCAUGUUUUUUGUACAAUACUUUAUAAUGUUGGCAUGAAAAUUAUGCCAAAAACAUUUGAUGGUGGAGAAUCCAUAAAUAGUACUACUUAUGAAAGAGUCUCCUUAACAUUUUUCAUUUGUAUAUAGGCUAAAUAGCCAAAAUGGUCCUUGAGAUUUGCAUAACUCAUCACUUUGGUCCCUAACAUUUCAAAUCGAUAAAAUUGGUCCCUGAGAUUGUCCACCAUCCAUCAUUUUGGUCAUUCCAUUAAAAACUCCGUUAAGUGUCUCGGAACUCUUGGCCGGAAGUUUGGACAAUUUUCAAAGCUUCGUAACUCAAUCGUUUCUUAACCAAAUUCGACCCAUAAUAUAUGAAAAUGAAGAUAGAAAAGUGUAGAAUAAGAUUAUACUUAUUUAUAAGCCCAAUGGCUACCAGAGAUAGCCGGAAAAUAGUCUCAAAUUUGACUGGUCUGAAGGAAAACUGGAAAACUCGCCGGAAACUAGGUAAACUUUAAACGUUCAUAACUUUUUCAAUACGCAACGAAAUCAAGUGAUUUAAAAAAAAAAUCAUACUUCUCAACGAGAAGAAGAGAAUGAUAUCUUUUUCGAUGGCUAAUGCACCGUGGUUUGGCUGGAAAAUGGCUCAAAAGUGGCUGUCUUAGUCUCAAGUUAGCCACUUUCGAGCCAUUUUUCGGCCAAACCACGGCGAUUUAGCUGUCUACAAAGGUACCAUUCUCUUCAUCUCAUCAAGAAGUAUGAUUUUCGUUUUUGAAUCACUUGAUUUCGUUGAGUAUUGAAGAAGUUAUGAACGUUUAAAGUUGACCUAGUUUCCUGCGAUUUUUCCAGUUUUCCCUCGGACCAGUCAACUUUGAGGCUAUUUUCUGGCCAUCUCCAGCAUCUAUUGGGCUUCCAAAUAGGUAUAAUCUUAUUCUACACUUUCCUAUCUUCAUUUUGAUAUAUAUGGGUCGAAUUUGGUUAAGAAACAAUUGAGUUACGAAGGUUUGAAAAUUUCUCAAACUUCAGGCCAAGAGUUCCAGGACACUUGUCAGAGUUUUUAACGGAAUGAUCAAAAUGAUGGAUGAUGGACAAUCUUAGGGACCACUUUUAUCGAUUUGGGAUGUUAGGGACCAAAGUGAUAAGUUAUGCAAAUCUUAGAGACCAUUUUGGCUAUUUAGCCUUUGUAUAUAUGAUGGGUAAUAUUAGGGAGAGUAAAUUUAGAUACAAAACUAGCAAAUUAAAUGACAAUAAAAUGAGCAUGUUUAUCAGCGCUUAAGUAAUAAAUUAAUCAUCAACUUUCACGUUCCUGUUGUAAACAUUCCUAGUUUAAGUAUGAUUGUGUAAAUCCUAGAUAAGAUUUGAUUCUAGUUAUCCUUUCCUAUUACAACUUGUAUUACUUGGAGGAGAAGAAAUAUCUUCUCUACCUUUACUACUAUAAAUAAAGGCACAAUGUAGGAGGGAUAACAACACAUACAUUCCCCUACAAUUCUACAAACACACAUCUCUCUCAUCUCUCUCUCUGCCGCCGGCUCUAGUCUCUCUGUCAGAUAAAAUAGAUCACAACACAUUAUCAGCACGCUCCUACCGCUGCACUUAGGAAUCUGACGUUGGAGAUUUUUUUUUCUGCAUCAAACCAGUUCAUCCAUAUCAUCACGCAAUCAGGUUCUUUCCAAACAACGGUUUUUAACUCGAUAUUUUGCAAGCCCUGAUAGCAUGAACAUUCACCAUGAUGCAUGACCCAACUUUAUGUUUUACGUAUUUUAGAUUCUACAUAAAUUGUGUAUGCUUCAUAACCAAAAUUGCUACAAUUAUGUGAAUUUGAUAUUUGCCAUGAAUUGAAUCUUACAUAUGUACAUGCAUUGAAACUAUUAUUUGCAUAUGGAUCAACGUAAAUAUGUGAUUCAUUAAAUUUAUGCAUAUAAUAUAAUUGAAUUGAAAAAAAAAUAUUUUUUUUGCGAUUUGGGAAUUAGGGUUCUUCGAACCCGUGCACUUGCACCAUGCAAGCUGCAAGCCACCAGGCCAGCAGCUUGCGAUGGCCCAGCUUGGUUUCCUCACCAGGCCUGCAGCCUGCAUCAAGUCCCCACGAGGGCUCCAACCCAGAAACCCGACGUCGUUUAUGGCGUCUCUCCCAUUGUAGGAUGGCUUGCAGCCCAUCCUCACACCUCGGGUUAACUUGUCUAACAGCCUGAAGCUCGUCCUUGACAUCGAUUGACCGAGAUUCAAUUGAAUCUCAUCGGUUUUUAAAAAAAAAACCCAAUUCGAAAUUUCUAGGGUUUGAUUGCAACAAUUGAGAUUUUAAUUUCUCCAUGUUGUAAUCAUAGUCGAAAACACCCCAGAAGGGUACCUCCGAGUCUUCCCGUCCAAGUUUUGGCCACCUGCAGUGGUGGCGCCGAUCAUCUUCUCCGAUGGAAUCACCUAACCUCGCUAGGAUUUCUUGGAUCCAGCCCGAUCCCAAAUUUUUUGGGCCUGGCUUCGACUCAGGCUGAAAAAUAAUAAAUUUUUUUCUUUUGGGCUCGCCAUUGCAAGCCCAGUUCGACCCCCUCAUUUUUUCAGCCUAGCGUUACAUCACACCAGCCCAAAUGGGCUCUGGUGUUCUCCCAUGCCCCAUACUGCAGCAGAACCCAGCCCGUGUGGCUGUUGUGCUUUCCCUGCAUCGUGAUACACACGAUUGAGGCAUUCUUUGGGCCUUUGCCACCUGGGCUUACCUGAAGCAGCCCGUGAGUGAAAAAAAAAAAAAAAAAGAGAAAUUUUUUUUAGGGCUGCACACAGCAGCCCAUUCCCCUCUUCUCACCCCGUGGGCAUGCAACCUACACCCGAGGGUCCUCGGCCUAUAUUUUUAGACCCCGAGAUUUUAUUAUUUAAUACUUUUAAAUAAUAUGGGUUUUUAUAUUUUCACCCACACUUUAAUUUGGCCCCGAAGACCAAAAAUAAAUUAAUUCACUUAUCAUUAUACAAUAUUUCUGCAUAUAUUCUUUGCAUAUUUGUUUGCAUAUAUAUUUGUGUUUGCCUGCAGGAAUAUAUGAACCUAAAGUUCAUAAUUACUUUGAAACCCGAAGUUUCUUCUAAACAUGCCUUGUUUGAAAACCUGAAGUUUUCACUUAAACAUAUCACCCAUGAAACCCGAAGUUUUUCAUGCGAAAUUAUUAGUUUUUGGAUAUUAAGUUUUUAAUCCUUGAAUAAAUGAAAUUAUUUUGAAUUGAUACUUGUUUUUAUAAACUUUUAUGCAUGUGACCGAUUCAAAUUAAUUUUUCAUUCUAGGUAUGACUAGUGGGAAAGUUAGUUGUCUGGCAGAUAGUGCAACCACGCAUACUGUUUUGCGUGAACGCAUCUAUUUCACUAACUUCGUACCUAAGAAUGCACCUCUGACAACCCUCUCAGGCCCAUCCAACCUGAUCGAAGGAUACGGUAAGGCACGUAUAAUGUUGUCCAAUGGUACAAUCUUGACCAUUGCUGAGGCACUCUAUUCUCCACGUUCCGGAAGAACGUUACUAAGUUUCAAGGACAUUAGAGAUAACAAUUACCACGCUGAAACCCACGUAGAAAACGGAGUUGAAUUUAUGUGCGUAACUUCCUACGAAUAUGGCCAGAAGCGUAUUCUAGAGAAGAUGGAGCGUAACCCGAGUGGUCUGUAUACUACGACCAUACGCCCCAUAGAAUGCCACUAUGUGGCCGGCCCUACCACAGGGACUGCGCACGAAAUUACACUUUGGCAUGAUCGUUUGGGACAUCCUGGACGAAUAGCGAUGCGCCGUAUCCUCAAAACUUCACACGGGCAUCCACUAACCCGAAGCUUAGGUUCGAUCCAUGAAAUUGCAUGUCAAACAUGUUCUAUAGGAAAGCUUAUUACUAAGCCUUCUUAUGACAAGAUUCGUUCGAAUCCUCCCAUUUUUCUACAACGGAUUCAGGGGGACAUUUGUGGACCGAUUCAACCUCCUUGCGGACCAUUUAGAUAUUUUAUGGUUUUGGUUGACGCUUCUACACGUUGGUCACACGUGUGCUUGUUGUCCACAAGGAACGCUGCAUUCUCCAAACUGUUGGCUCAGGUUAUCAAGCUCAGGGCUCACCACUCUGAUUAUCCGAUCAAAUCUAUUCGAUUGGAUAAUGCUGGAGAAUUCAUAUCUAAAACUUUUGAUGACUAUUGCUUGUCGGUUGGGGUUAACGUUGAACAUCCUGUACCCCAUGUUCACACCCAGAACGGCCUGGCAGAGGCUUUCAUUAAGCGUUUACAAAUGAUUGCUCGAUCGUUGGUCAUACAUACCAAGCUCCCGAUCGCUGCUUGGGGCCAUGCAAUAUUGCACGCAGCAAAGUUGGUCCGCCUGAGGCCUGCUGUGACACAACCAUUUAGUGCCCUUCAGUUGGUCACCGGAUGCGAACCCGACAUAUCGCAUCUGCGCGUUUUUGGUUGUGCGGUCUAUGUGCCGAUCUCGCCGCCCUUACGUACAAAAAUGGGGCCUCAGCGAAGGAUGGGAAUCUAUGUCGGAUAUGAUUCUCCUUCGAUUAUUCGUUACUUAGAACCUUUGACAGGCGAUCUGUUUACCGCUCGUUUCGCGGAUUGUCACUUCUAUGAGACAGUCUUCCCGUCGUUAGGGGGAGAUAAAAACGUCAACGUUCCUAAUGAACGACGUGAAUUAUCAUGGACGACUCCCACUUUGUCUCAUUUAGAUCCCCGCACCGCUCAGUCUGAAGCUGAAGUGCAGCGCAUAUUAGAUCUCCAGAGCAUAGCUCAGAGCAUGCCAGAUGCUUUCACCGAUCUAGCGCGCGUGACAAGAUCACAUAUUCCAGCUGCGAAUACGCCUGCAAAGAUAGAUGUACCAAAUGUACGACGGACUACUCUCCUGGAAGCCCGGGACGCAAAUUCUGGUGAUCCACGUACAUUAACGGCUAGCCAAUCAUCUGCCCCUACACAAAAGCGUGGCAGACCCCUUGGUUCAAAUGAUUCACACCCCCGGAAGAGGAAAACCACGGCACAAGGUCCUGAAGAGCCUACCGUGAAUCCGACUAUCGCUUACUCAUUUUACCCAACUCAUGAGGAAAUUCUAGAUUAUGGAAGCGUCCUUGAAGAGACGAAUCCUCCUCCCGAGAAUCGUGAGAUUUCGGUCUAUUAUGCUAGUUUAGAUGAUGUGUGGCGUAGAAAUGAGAUGAUUGUCGACGAUGCAUUAGCAUUUGCAGUAGCUACUGAGAUCAUGUUGAGCGAUGACAUUGAACCGCGUUCCGUUGAUGAAUGUCGACGUAGAGCUGAUUGGUCAAACUGGAAACAAGCAAUCCAAGUCGAACUUGAUUCACUUGCGAAACGUAAGGUGUUUGGACCUGUAGUUCCUACUCCUCCACAUGUGAAGCUCGUUGGCUACAAAUGGGUUUUCGUUCGGAAGCGUAAUGAGAAGAACGAAAUUAUGCGUUACAAAGCUCGUCUUGUAGCACAAGGUUUCUCACAACGUCCCGGGAUUGACUAUGACGAAACUUACUCACCCGUUAUUGAUGUGAUUACUUUUCGAUACCUUAUCAGUUUGGUAGUUUCCGAAAAACUAGAUAUGCAGCUAAUGGACGUAGUAACCGCGUAUCUCUAUGGGGAUCUUAAUAUGGAAAUUUAUAUGAAAGUUCCCGAAGGACUUACAUUGACUGGUUCAAAUAUUUCCAAACCCCGGAACACGCUCUCAAUUCGGCUGAGGCGUUCACUAUACGGUUUGAAAUAAUCCGGAAGAAUGUGGUAUAACCGUUUGAGUGAGUAUUUGACUAGUCAGGGAUAUGUGAACAAUGAACUAUGCCCUUGUGAGUUCAUUAAGAAGUCACAUUCCGGAUUUAUGAUUGUUGCAGUAUAUGUCGAUGACAUGAAUCUCAUCGGAACUCCUGAAGAGCUCGCGAGAACUGCUUCGCACCUGAAGUCGGAAUUUGAGAUGAAAGAUCUAGGAAAGACUUGAUACUGUCUCGGUCUCGAGAUAGAGCAUUGUUCGGAUGGAAUCUUAGUACAUCAAUCGAACUACACCCAGAAGAUGUUACGCCGUUUUAAUGAGGAUAAAGCGAAGUCUUCGAGUACUCCUAUGGUCGUUGAUGCGUAAAAUAAGUUAACACACAAAAUUAAACCCUCUUUUUGACAAUUGUAGUAUAGAUGUAAGUAGGGUAUCGUUCUAGGCCGGGGAUUAGGAGGGAUUGCUAAUCUAUUAAAUUAACUUAAAAAUAUUAAAUAAGACUCAAGGACACAAAACUAGGCUAAAAACUCUAAUAACUCGAAACACACUUAAAAUGACUCAAAAUAAUGAAAACAAUUAAAUUAAAUACUAGGAACUGAAAUGGACGGAAAUUAAAUUAAAAGACUAACAAUAAAGAAAACUAAAUAAAUAAUAUAAUUUAAUAAUGGAUGGGUGUUUGGUUUUGAUGAAAAGUAAAUUAAACUUAAUUAAAUUACAGAAUUGACAAAAACAUGAAAUUAAGGUGAAAUGAUAAAUGACGGACUAGCUAGAGGGUUCUUCUCCACACAUGACACAUAUGCAACCUAAAUUGAUUUUCAGUUGUUCUUUCAAUAAAUUGUGAAUCUCAAUACUCCAGAUUAACCGUGAAUAGCACUUUUUUAAUCUUCAAGUUUUCCUUAAGUUAUUGAAUUGGACGGAAAAAACGCAUACAACAAUUCAAAACAUUCUUCAAAAGUCCCCUACGUGAAAAGCACAAUAGCGAUACAAUCAAAGAUCAUUAAACUUUGUGAAAACUAUAAGCAUUGACGAGGCAUUCGUAACUAUGAAAAGCAUGAUACUCUUGCCAAGAAUUUACUUAACGUGAUUGUGACUAGCAACCUUUACUACUUGUGAAAAUAAGUUCAUAACGAUUAGGUGAAAUUCACUUAUAUUCUAGCAUCAAAUUCAUGCAUGUAAAUUAAGCGUACACUCUCAACCAACAUACACAAAUCAGUUUUUAUACGAACGGAUAAGUAAAUUGAAAUCACAACUUAUGAAAUCACAACCGAAGGUAAUCAAUUCAUAUUACAAAUAUAUUCAUGGUUUCGAAUUAACCUCUAGCCAAAAUAAAAUUAAUUACACAUUAUUAAAAUAAAAAUAAAAUAGGAGUUUGGAAAGAUUAAACCGAAAGAAAGGAUCUGCUGCUUGGACUCUGAACUGCAUUUUCAUGCUGACCUCCUGUCCUCCUCGCCACUGACUUCCCUUCUCUCCGCAGCUUCACGCUGCCCAAAGGGCAGCCCUCUGCCUUCCACCAAUUCCCCCCCUCCUUCUCUCUUCUGCCAAUCCCAUCUAUAUCCUCAUGCUCCUGACCUCCUCCUUAUUUCUUUUUUUUCUAUUUUAUUUUUUUUUGUUGCUGUCCACCACAUUCUCUGCGCCUACUGCGCUCCCAGCUGUCUCUCCUGCUUUCCACUGACUUUUCCCGCUCCCACUUCUCUCUAUCCUCUUUCUGCUGCCGCAAGGCAGCUGUCUGCUUGCUGCUUCUCUCUCCCUUUUUCUGCUUGUUUAUAUUUUUUUUUUUCUUCUUUUCCUUUUCCUUCUUUUCCUUUUCCUUUCUUUUUCUUUUCUUUCUUUUUCUUUUCUUCUUUGCCGUUCCUUUCUUCUUCUACAAAACAUGAAUCAUGAUGAUGUUUCAAACAUCAUCAUGACUUGUUAUUAUUAUUAUAUAUUUAUUUAUUUUUAAUUUUAUUUAAAAGCUGAUCUACACAGACAGUUUUGACGAAUUUAUUACAUAAAAUUUCACUUGUUCUAUUUUUAUUUUCUUUGCAUAACAAAUCCUAUAAACACAAAAAUAACGUAAAUAGCUCAAAAAUAUAAGGAACUAACUAAGAAAAGACGAGUGAAUUCGAAGUAAAAAUAUAUAUAAAUAUCAUCCGAUCAAAUACCCCCACACUUAACUUUUGCUAGUCCUCGAGCAAAACAAAGAAAACUAGAACAAGAAGUAACAAGAAAAACAUUAGCUUCCCCCUAUGUGACCCUCAUAGAAUUUCAUUCGAGAAAACAAAUCAUCAAGAACCAUAGCUAGCAUCAAGGAAAUAAUCCAAGUUCAUCUUCCUUAUUCAAAUAUUAGCAGUAAUCUUUAAAUCAUCCUUGAAGUGUAGUGUGUGAGAUAGCCAUGCUAAUGCAAUUUCAAGUUUUUAUUUUUAAAAUCAUCAUAUGCAAACUAGCGACCUUCUCACGGGAUAUGCACUCAAUCACACAUGUGUUUAGUUUUAAUGUGUUUCGCUCAAAGAAUCAAAUGUGAAAUUUCUACCAUAAGCUUGCAUAAAGAUCACUUCUCCACAGUCAUAAUUGCAAAACUUAAAUCAAGAGGACUUUUAUUGGAUGUAAUGAGGCUUAGGGAUAGGGUUAUUGAAAUGAAAGAAUAGGAAAACACAAGUUCCAAGCUAUAUUGCAAGCAAUUCUUUUGUUUAGAUUUAUAAGAACUCAAUUUUUUCAGCGAUUCUUCUAGCACCUCCAACCAUACCCUUAAACUGAAACUUUAAAAACUUUUUAUUUUCUUUGUAUACAAUCUUUCUUUUUCUUUUCUUUUUUUCUUCUUUUUUUUUAUUUUUUUUUAUUUUUAUUUUUUUUAUACAAACAUGAAAUACCCCCACACUUAUUCUUUUGCCAAACACCUUCAAAGUACUUCACAAACAUUUCUCAUAAGACAAUCUCACAUUGCUCACUUGGAAAGGGUAAGGAAAAAAUGUUUCAGGCAUAAGGGUAGACAUAUCUGGUGAUAAGAAAUAAAAGGCUCAACAUACACGGCUCAAAUUGGCAAUCUAAUGAUAUCAUUUUCUUUGGGAAACAUAGUUAUUUGGGCCAUAGUGGUAAACCUAAUGCCUCUAUCAUUUCCAAGUUCAUGCAAUCAAUGACAAACAUUUCGAAAGAUCGUUACGCAAGUUCUAGAGAUGUAUCUCACAUAAGUUCAUCACACAUGAAAGAAUAGGAGUGUAUGAAAAAUGCACACUUUCAAUAGGCUCAAAAACUCACAUAGGAUGUAUAUGGUCACUAAAUUCACAUAUGAAGCUUUAAGUCAUACUUUAGUUUCACAUUAACAAGGCUAUGUGCAUUUGGUUUUUCAAAGAUGGUCAAACAUGUACAAAACUAACAAGAGAAUUAGGAAUUUCACCAAAACACAUGUUAACUAAGUUCUUGAUGAUCAUGGUUCAAAUUUUUGAUCCAAUUAUAUCAUUGGGUCGGGAAACUAACAAAAAUCUGAUUCAGAACAAUAAGGGAAACAAGACAAUAUUUUUUGGAUUUUUAAAUUUUUCGAUUUUUUUUUUUUUUUUUUUUUUUUUUUUUAAGAAAACAAAAACUAACAACACAGAAACAAAUGAAAUUCUAGAGAUUUCUACCCCCACACUUAAACUUGACAUUGUCCCCAAUGUCAGAAAACACUAUAACGCAAAUAAAAAUAAAAUAAAUAAAUAAAUAAUAAGAAACAAAAUAAAAACAAUGGGACUGAAAACUUCCCUAAUUUGCAGUAAAAUCAAGCGAUGACCCCCAAGCUAAAAUUCUGCAAUCAACUUCAAGGGUGGAAAUAACCAAAAGUUUCCUGCAAAGAAAAGAAAUAAUACAGUUAAGUACGCAAGAAAAUUAAUUAAAAAAAAAAAAAUUGCAAACGAAAAAUUGAAAAUUACGAUAAAAAGAUAAUGAAUAAAACUAAUAAGUAAUCAUUGGUCGUGCUUGUUGACUUUCCACAGCUUUCCUCUUGAACAGGGUGACACUUAGCUUUUUUACUAUUUGAUGAUAUUGUACGGCGGAGCUUUGCUCUUUGGGAAUGUUGCAGUUCCUUAUUUGUUCUCCAAGCAGAUGUGGCAGCUUCUCUAGUUCCUCAGUUCGGACUCCUUCCGCUGGGAUGAUUGUGCAAGCUGCAUUCUUCUCUGCUUGUUUCUUCUGCACAACGGGCAGGCACGAGGGAAAGGUGUUGGUCCUUAUUUCUUUCUUCAAUCUUUCCAAGUGCCCACCUCUUGCUUUCUUUCUCCUUGUCCCUAGCUGAAUUGUCUCCACAUGCUUCGAGGUAUCAUUUUCACUUUCCUUACUGUCCCCCAGGCAGAUGUGGUAGACGAAGAGAAAGCAUAAAAUGAUGAAGAUGAGUACUCGAGAGCAAGGCUAGGUAAGCAAUCAGGAAAGGGUUCCAGGCAGUUGGCUCCAGAUUGGAAGAUUGAUACCAAAUGCUGGCUGAUUGCUCUCUUUCUCCUUGUCGGAAAACAAAGACAAGGAGAAGGACAUGGAGAAAGCAUGAUAUGAGAUACUCUUGCUUUCAACCUUUAUGAUAUGAAAUACUUUUGCUUUGAAUGGGUUGUUCGCAGGAGUAUCCCAAGGAAUGAGGAACACAGAGUGACUCGAGAGGAUUCUUUGGGAAUGCAUUUUCGGAGAUGAAGAGGUGUUGAGAGGGUGUGCUGAGAGAGUGUGCUUUUGCUGUGGAAGGCGAAGGUAGAAACUUAUAGGACUUGUCUUCACAACCGGAACUGUUCUCUCACUUAGUGUCGGCAGCCGGUGGAUGGGUGAAGAAUACAAAUUACGCGCUUUCUGACAAAGCUGCCCGUAAUUUCCGCAAAGCUGCCAGUUGCAUGUGACAAGUGCUGACUAGGCUGAGAGAGACAGAUGGUUGGAAUCGGCACUUCGACAGACUGCCCGUGAUUUUCGCAGAGCUGAGUUUGCGUGUGACGGGUGACAACACGUCUGGACGAAUUGAUCUUGCGAAAUCCGGGGUUCGGCUCGUGGUUUCUGAGCAAGCCCAACUUUUAAGAAAUGAACGCCUCUUUUGAGAAAAGAAUCCGGCUUUUGAGAACGGAAACUCCUCUUUUGAGAAAAGAAUCCGGCUUUUGAGAAAGGAGCCCCGACUCUUCGAUUUGCGAGAUGACGCUUCUCUGAGGAGCGCCUCUUUGAUUUCUUCUUUUUAUAGAGGCGUUAAUUUUGUUCCACAACACACUUGAGUACCCUCCUGUAAACACUCCCAUCUUGCACUUGUUUAAUCUUGAUCAGUCCAACUCUCUUCUUUCUUUACCACCUCUGAAAAAUGUCUGGCCCUUCUGAUCGUCGUUUUGACUUGAACAUUGGUGAAGAGGCAGCUCCGCCUUCACCAGACAACAUAUGGCGGCCAUCCUUCAUAUCCCCUACCGGUCCCCUUACCGUGGGGGAUUCGAUGAUGAAAAAUGACAUGACCGCUGCGGUGGUGGCCCGAAACCUUGUCACUCCCAGAGAUAACAGACUGCUCGCAAGGCGGUCUGAUGAAUUGGCGGUCAAGGAGUCUCUGGCUCUCAGUGUGCAGUGUGCGGGUUCCGUAUCCAACAUGGCCCAACGCCUAUAUGCCCGAACCCGUCACGUUGAAUCCUUGGUGGCUGAAAUACAGAGUCUCAAGUAAGAGAUUAAAGGGCUCAAGCAUGAGAAUAAGGAAUUGCACAAGCUCGCACACAGCUAUGCCACCAGCAUGAAGAGGAAGAUUGACCAGAUGCAGGACACCGAUGGUCAAAUUUUACUUGAUCAUCGGAGGUUUGUGGGUUUGUUCCAACAACAUCUGCCUUCGUCUUCUGGAGCGGCACCGCGUAGUGAAGCUCCAACUGAUCAACCUAUGCCGCCUCCUCCUUCUGUGGCCCCGCCGACUGCUGAAGCCCCGCCCGACCAAUGAAUACUAUUAGUUUACAUCAUUGUAAAAUAUUUGUACUUUUUUUUUUUUAUUUUUUUAUUUUUUUAUAAAUGUAAAUUAAUGUAAAGAGACUUUGGUUAACCUUCCCACACUUAAACUAAAUAACACAAACUCACAGAAAUCAAACAAAUAACACAACUAACUAAACAAGACAAAAUGAAAGCAUUAAAGAUAAGGGUGUAAAAAUGCAAAUCUGAUUGGGUUAGCGAUUCCAAAGUCUCCCUUCGUUGAAUGCUUGGGUUGCCUCCCAAGAAGCGCUUGAUUUAACGUCUUUAGCCGGACGCAUCUUUCCUUUAAAUUUCCCUCGGCUCCAUUUGAACCUAAAAUCAAAGAAAGAAAAAUAAAUCAAAUAUCAAAAGUAAAAUACACAAACACCAAUAUAAACAUAAACAAAAACAAAAAUAAAAGGAUUAGCAAAGUUGCUAAUCCCCGGCAACGGCGCCAAAAUUUGAUGCGUAAAAUAAGUUAACACACAAAAUUAAACCCUCUUUUUGACAAUUGUAGUAUAGAUGUAAGUAGGGUAUCGUUCUAGGCCGGGGAUUAGGAGGGAUUGCUAAUCUAUUAAAUUAACUUAAAAAUAUUAAAUAAGACUCAAGGACACAAAACUAGGCUAAAAACUCUAAUAACUCGAAACACACUUAAAAUGACUCAAAAUAAUGAAAACAAUUAAAUUAAACACUAGGAACUGAAAUGGACGGAAAUUAAAUUAAAAGACUAACAAUAAAGAAAACUAAAUAAAUAAUAUAAUUUAAUAAUGGAUGGGUGUUUGGUUUUGAUGAAAAGUAAAUUAAACUUAAUUAAAUUACAGAAUUGACAAAAACAUGAAAUUAAGGUGAAAUGAUAAAUGACGGACUAGCUAGAGGGUUCUUCUCCACACAUGACACAUAUGCAACCUAAAUUGAUUUUCAGUUGUUCUUUCAAUAAAUUGUGAAUCUCAAUACUCCAGAUUAACCGUGAAUAGCACUUUUUUAAUCUUCAAGUUUUCCUUAAGUUAUUGAAUUGGACGGAAAAACGCAUACAACAAUUCAAAACAUUCUUCAAAAGUCCCCUACGUGAAAAAGCACAAUAGCGAUACAAUCAAAGAUCAUUAAACUUUGUGAAAACUAUAAGCAUUGACGAGGCAUUCGUAACUAUGAAAAAGCAUGAUACUCUUGCCAAGAAUUUACUUAACGUGAUUGUGACUAGCAACCUUUACUACUUGUGAAAAUAAGUUCAUAACGAUUAGGUGAAAUUCACUUAUAUUCUAGCAUCAAAUUCAUGCAUGUAAAUUAAGCGUGCACUCUCAACCAACAUACACAAAUCAGUUUUUAUACGAACGGAUAAGUAAAUUGAAAUCACAACUUAUGAAAUCACAACCGAAGGUAAUCAAUUCAUAUUACAAAUAUAUUCAUGGUUUCGAAUUAACCUCUAGCCAAAAUAAAAUUAAUUACACAUUAUUAAAAUAAAAAUAAAAUAUGAGUUUGGAAAGAUUAAACCGAAAGAAAGGAUCUGCUGCUUGGACUCUGAACUGCAUUUUCAUGCUGACCUCCUGUCCUCCUCGCCACUGACUUCCCUUCUCUCCGCAGCUUCACGCUGCCCAAAGGGCAGCCCUCUGCCUUCCACCAAUUCCCCCCCUCCUUCUCUCUUCUGCCAAUCCCAUCUAUAUCCUCAUGCUCCUGACCUCCUCCUUAUUUCUUUUUUUUCUAUUUUAUUUUUUUCUGUUGCUGUCCACCACAUUCUCUGCGCCUACUGCGCUCCCAGCUGUCUCUCCUGCUUUCCACUGACUUUUCCCGCUCCCACUUCUCUCUAUCCUCUUUCUGCUGCCGCAAGGCAGCUGUCUGCUUGCUGCUUCUCUCUCCCUUUUUCUGCUUGUUUAUAUUUUUUUUUCUUUUUCCUUUUCCUUCUUUUCCUUUUCCUUUUCUUUUUCUUUUCUUUCUUUUUCUUUUCUUCUUUGCCGUUCCUUUCUUCUUCUACAAAACAUGAAUCAUGAUGAUGUUUCAAACAUCAUCAUGACUUGUUAUUAUUAUUAUAUAUAUAUUUAUUUUUAAUUUUAUUUAAAAGCUGAUCUACACAGACAGUUUUGACGAAUUUAUUACAUAAAAUUUCACUUGUUCUAUUUUUAUUUUCUUUGCAUAACAAAUCCUAUAAACACAAAAAUAACGUAAAUAGCUCAAAAAUAUAAGGAACUAACUAAGAAAAGACGAGUGAAUUCGAAGUAAAAAUAUAUAUAAAUAUCAUCCGAUCAGUCGUUCGUACGCUAGAUGCAAAACGAGAUCCCUUCCGUCCGAAUGAGGAUGAUGAAGAGAUUUUGGAGCCUGAAGUUCCUUAUCUAAGUGCGAUAGGCGCUUUAUUGUACUUAGCUCAAUGCACUAGACCCAGCAUCUCAUUUGCUGUUAAUCUUUUGGCAAGAUACAGCAAUGCACCAACACGCAGACAUUGGACUGGCGUGAAAGACAUCUUCCAUUACCUUAAGGGUACUAUGGAUUUGGGCUUAUUUUAUCCCUACGAAUCCUCGAGUGAUGCCGCACCCUAUGCUCAUCGGGUUGAUUCUCGCCUUGUUGGUUAUGCCGACGCUGGAUACUUAUCUGAUCCGCACAAGGCGCGUUCUCAAACGGGUUAUGUCUUUACCGUUGGAGGCACCGCAAUAUCUUGGAGGUCAACUAAACAGACCUUAGUUGCCACUUCGUCUAACCAUGCUGAAAUUCUCGCCUUACAUGAAGCAACUCGGGAAUGCUUUUGGUUGAGAGCAGUAAUGGGCCAUAUUCGAAGCUCCUGUGAUCUUCAUCCUGCCGUUAAUGCCCCGACGACGAUUUUUGAAGACAACGCAGCUUGCAUCGAACAACUCAAGAAGGGUUACAUCAAAGGAGACAACACCAAGCAUAUUGCGCCGAAGUUCUUCUUUACACAUCAACAACAAGAACAUCAGAAGAUUGAAGUCACGCAAAUCCGAUCACAAGACAAUAUGGCCGACCUCUUCACCAAAUCACUACCGAAGGCGACGUUUCAGAAGCUUGUUCAUGGAAUUGGUAUGCGUAAACUUUCUGAGUUGUAACUUUGCUAUUUCUCUUUGGAAUUAUGUCAAACUCAGGAGGAGUAUCCUCUGGAUACUUGCUUGAUCUUAAUGUAAUUUUUUUCCCUAUGAUUAGGAGCAUUUUUCCCACUGGGUUUUUGCUACCUAACUAGGUUUUAACGAGGCACCCACCUUGGGCUGGUCAUAUCCCUGAUGACGUCCUGUAGAUGUUUCUUUUGACUUUGCAUUUCUCACACAUUUUCCUUAGACUAUGGAUUUUGUCCCUACUCGGGUUUUUGCCAUAGCCUUAGGGUUUUUUAGUGGGACUUACUACUUAUGCAAGUUCCUACCUUAUUGAGAAUAAGCGUUGUUCCUUGGAAUCAAUGCCGACGAGUCAACUUCCUCAACUUCUGCAUGAUACUGAAUCUACCUUGAGUAUUUACACACUCAAGGGGGAAUGUUGUAAACAUUCCUAGUUUAAGUAUGAUUGUGUAAAUCCUAGAUAAGAUUUGAUUCUAGUUAUCCUUUCUUAUUACAACUUGUAUUACUUGGAGGAGAAGAAAUAUCUUCUCUACCUUUACUACUAUAAAUAAAGGCACAAUGUAGGAGGGAUAACAACAUAUACAUUCCCCUACAAUUCUACAAACACACAUCUCUCUCCUCUCUCUCUGCCGCCGGCCCUAGUCUCUCUGUCAGAUAAAAUAGACCACAACAGUUCCUUAGUUUUCAAAAUUUUAUUUUCAUAUUUAGUCUCCUAACAUUGUCCAUGAAAUCACUUUAAUUUUGAGAUUAGAAGUGUCAACGACUCAGCAAGAUUAUUUCGCCAUCGCAAUUCCAGCAGAUUGAUUGGCAAUUAACAUGAAUUGAUUGAGUAGUAUACUAUAUUUUAUAACACAAAUCAAAAGAAAUUAACGAGAAGAAGCAACCCACUAGCAACAGUGCCGAUAAAAGCAAACCAAACGAAAAGGUGUGUGAACAUCCGAGCCAAAGUUACACUCACCUUUCAGGAGAAGCGAUAAGGCGGUGAAGAUAAGUGAAAGCCGAUCCGAACUGCAAAGUCAAUGAUGGAUGAAGCCGAUCCGAAUUGAGGAACUUGGAGGGAAACAUGGAUAAAGGUGGAAGAAAAUAGGGGGAAAAGAUGGAAAAGGUGGAAGGAAGAUAGAUGGAAGGAAACACGGAGAAAAAGUAGUCUUUAAAUUUGUCCCGCCAACAACUUUUUUUUCUAUUUUUUUUAACAAAAACGAUAAUAUCUACCAUAAGAGAGGGGUGUGCCAAAAUGACAAAAAUAUCCUUCAUUUAAUAAACAAUGGGCUAAAAUAAUUUGAUAAAAAAUAAGAGUAUUUUUGUCAUUUUUUCCUUAUUUAAUAGUGAUUUUUCACGGAAAAAUCAAAAUGAUCGAUGGUAAACAAACUCAGGGACUAGUUCUUAGAUUCUAAAUCUCAAGGACCAAAAUGAGGACUUAAAACCAAUCCUAGAGACUAUUUUGACUAAAAAGCCAUUAUUUUACCAAUGACACCAAUUUUAUUAAUCUAGAAAGAGGUGAUUCUAAAUCUCAAAGACUAAAAUGAGGACUUAAAUCAAUCUCAGAGACUAUUUUGACUAAAAGAACCAUUAUUUUACUAAUGACACCAAUUUUAUUAAUCUAGAAAGAGGUGACUCACCAAUUUGAUCUAUCAAACCUAAAAUGAAAAACAACGUAGUUUGGUCAUAGCACAAAAGAACUUGUGGGGUAAACCAAAUAGGUGGAGCAGUGUGUUCGUCUCUUAACACUUAAUUUCAAAUUCCUAUACCUAUAUAUUUGAGUAGUGGAAGUAAACAUUGUAAACCAGAGUGGUCUAACACCUCUUGAUCUGCUAAUCUUCCCGAGUGAAGCCGGCUAUAGGGAAAUUGAAGAGAUCCUUCGUGGUGCCGGAGCUUCGAGAGCACAGGACAUACACCAUACUCCCUCUCAUUGUCCCAUGGAAACAAAUUGUUGAACUAUAAGUAUUUGAGCUGAAAUGUUUUAGAAUAAGUUUUGUUUAAAUUGGUGAAUCCACUUGUGCAGAAUGAGGCAAAGUGUAAAUGUCUAGUUUUGUAAAAAGGCCAUGAGUGCCAUGUGUUGGUAGAUCCAUGAAAUUAGAGAGAUGUGUGUCUAGGAUGAAAUGUAGUAGUUUAUGUGGUCCCAAGUUAAGGACCUUCAGUUAAUGUAAAGCACGUGAGUGCUCAUUUCUGAAAAAAAAAGAAGCAAUUUUCCUCUGUAAAGUUUCUGCAGAGAAAAGAACAAGAAACCGUUCGCUUUCUCCAACCUUUGUUCAUCGUGUGUUUUCUGUACAGCUCCAUCUUCAUCAAAACUCUCAUUGAAAUCAAGUUACACUAACAUGGCCUCAGAGCCAGGUUGGGUCUAACAAUCUGGGCGUAAAUCUGUGAAGCUAUUUUUGAGCUCAAUCGAAGCUCUCUUGAAGCUCCGUGAACGUUGUCGAUUCAGAUCAAAACAUGUCUGGAUCUGGAGGCUCGGAAGUGAGGACUCCAAUUUUCUCCGGUGAGAACUACGAGUUCUGGAGAAUUAAAAUGGCAACGAUAUUCAAAUCCCUUGGGUUAUGGAACCUGGUAGAGAAGGGGAUUGAAACCUCCAAUCCGAAGAAGAAGGAAGCUGGAGAAGCAUCGAAGGAUGAUGAAGAAAUGGUAGCUGUUCUGAUGAAAGACACAAAGGCUUUGGGAAUCAUUCAGAAUGCAGUCUCGGAUCAGAUCUUCCCACGAAUCGCCAAUGCCGAGUCAGCUAAGAUGGCAUGGGAUUUGUUGUACGGGGAGUAUCAUGGUGGUGAUCAGGUACGAUAUGUGAAAUUGCAGAAUCUUAGGAGAGAGUUUGAAUAUGCUAGGAUGAGAGAUGAUGAGUCUUUAUCUAGCUAUCUUACACGGCUGAAUGAGCUAAUUAAUCAAAUGAGAACAUUUGGUGAAUCUCUGUCGAAUGAGAGACUGGUGCAAAAGGUUUUGAUUAGUCUUAGUAAACCUUAUGAUUAUAUCUGUUUGGUUAUAGAAAACACAAAGUGUCUAGAGACUGUAGAGUUGCAGGAAGUAGUUGCAAUCUUAAAAAGUCAAGAACAACGGUUUGAUCUGCAUACUGUUGAUACUACUGGGAAAGCAUUCUCAUCUUUCUCAAUGAGUUCAAAAGAGCAGGAUAGGGGUGAAGGUCAAUCUGGUUCAUCUCGGUUCCAGAAAAAUUGGAAUAACAAGGGCAAGAAAUGGGGUUCAAAACCUAAGUUUCAGCAUAAAUUUCCUGCUAAUCCUGCACAUAAUGCACAGUCAAUGAGGCAGAUAGGUACAAAACCACAGUGCAGGGUAUGUUCUAAGUUUCACUUUGGAGAGUGUAGGUAUAAAGGGAAACCUAAAUGCUAUAACUGUGAAAAGUUUGGUCACUGGGCUAGAGAGUGCACAGUAGGUAAAUUAGUGCAAAAGGCAAAUAGUGCUAAUCAGGUAGAGGUGACAGGGAACCUGUUUUAUGCAAAUAGCACAAUCACUGAAUCAAAAGUGAAUGGAGAAUGGUAUGUAGACAGUGGUUGUAGCAACCAUAUGACAGGGGAUUCUAAGUUGUUGAUAGACAUGAAGACAAAUGUGGUUGGCAAGGUUCAAAUGCCCACAGGGGAACUCAUGAAUGUGGCAGGUUUUGGUACACUUGUGAUAGACACUAGCAAAGGCAGAAAAUAUGUCAAAGAAGUAAUGUACCUACCUGGGUUGAAGGAAAAUCUGUUAAGUGUGGGGCAGAUGGAUGAACACGGUUACUACCUGUUAUUUGGGGGAAAGAUGUGUAGUAUCUUUGAUGGACCUUCAUUGGAUUGUCUUGUACUCAAAGUUGAAAUGAAAAAGAACAGAUGUUAUCCUUUGACACUGAUACAAAAUGAUCAGGUUGUACUGAGAGCAGGUAUUUCUAAGUCUACUUGGAUAUGGCACAAGAGACUAGGCCAUCUGCAUUUUAGAGGUCUUCAACAGCUUAAGAACAAAGAAAUGGUGCAUGGUCUCCCAGUUUUAGAAGAAAUGGAUGAAGUUUGUAAAGGUUGUCAGUUUGGGAAACAGCAUAGAGAGUGGUUUCCAAAGAAUCAAGCGUGGAGAGCAAGUAAACCUCUAGAACUGGUGCAUGUAGAUCUGUGUGGUCCUAUGCAGAAUGAUUCUCUUGCGGGCAACAAAUAUUUCAUGCUUCUUGUAGAUGACUGUACAAGAAUAAUGUGGGUUUAUUUUCUGAAAUACAAGUCAGAUGCAUUGAUCUGUUUUAGAAAAUUCAAGUCCAUGGUGGAAUUACAAAGUGGUUUUAAGAUAAAAUGUUUGAGGAGUGACAGAGGGGGUGAAUUCACAUCUUGUGAAUUCAACAAACUGUGUGAAGAUGCAGGGAUUCAAAGACAGUUAUCUAUGGCCUAUACUCCACAACAGAAUGGAGUGGUAGAGAGGAAGAACCGAGCUGUGGUUGAGAUGGCAAAAGCUAUGCUUCAUGACAAAGGACUACCAUACUACUUAUGGGCAGAAUCUGUACUCACAGCUGUCUAUAUAUUGAACAGGUGUCCUACAAGAGCUCUUGGAGAAGUAACUCCAUUUGAAGCAUUCAGUGGUCGAAAACCUGGAAUUGCACAUCUUAGAAUCUUUGGUUGUCUGUGUUAUGUACACACACCAAAUGAGUUGAGACAGAAACUAGAUGCAAAGAGUGUCAAGGGCAUAUUUGUAGGUUAUGCAACCUGUGAAAAGGGGUACAGAGUGUAUGAUCCUCUUAGUAAAAAGCUUAUACUCUCAAGGGAUGUUGUGUUUGAUGAAAAUGCAGCCUGGGAAUGGAAGACAGCUCCUGAGAACUAUGUAACUGUGUUUAAUCCUAUUGAGUUAUCUGUGCUGCCUAAAUGUAUCUCAUCAGAGACAACUCCAGAGGAAAAUGAUUAUGUUUUGUCACCAAAUCUGGCAUUUUCUCAUGAAUCUGUAAGUGAUGUGGACAGCAGCAUGAAAAUGACUCAAGCCUUUGAUCACACUCCAUUGAAAUGGAGGAAUCUAGAUGAUGUCUUGGCACAAUGCAAUCUUUGUAUUAUGGAACCUGAAAAAUUUGAAGAGGCAGCCAAAGAUGAAGCAUGGAUGAAGGCUAUGAAAGAUGAACUGUCAAUGAUUGAGAAGAAUGCAACAUGGGAUCUGGUGAACAGACCAAGUGAUAAACCCAUAAUUGGGGUUAAGUGGGUGUUCAAGACCAAGCUUAAUCUCGAUGGGACAGUGCAAAAGCAUAAGGCAAGAUUGGUAGCCAAAGGAUAUGCUCAGAAACCAGGUGUGGAUUACAAUGAAACGUUUGCACCUGUAGCUAGACUGGAUACAAUUCGGACUCUAAUUGCUUUGGCAGCUCAGAAAAGUUGGAAAUUAUACCAACUAGAUGUGAAAUCUGCUUUUCUGAAUGGAGUACUCGAAGAAGAAGUUUAUGUAGAACAACCAGAUGGUUUUGUGAUCAAGGGGAGUGAAGACAAGGUGUACAAGCUUUAUAAAGCUUUGUAUGGUCUAAAACAGGCACCAAGAGCCUGGUAUAGUGAAAUUGAUACCUAUUUUGCUCACUAUGGGUUUGUGAAAAGUCAGAGUGAAGCUACUCUUUACAUCAAAGUAAGGGGAGGAGAAAUUCUGAUUGUUUCAAUCUAUGUGGAUGAUAUAGUGUAUACUGGGAAUAGCACUGAGAUGUUGAAGGAGUUCAAGGAAGACAUGAUGACAAAAUAUGAGAUGACAGAUUUGGGGCUCCUUCACCAUUUUCUUGGUAUGGGAGUGAUUCAAACUCACACAAGCAUAUUUAUCCAUCAAAGGAAGUAUGCUGGUUCUUUGUUAGAUAAGUUUGGUUUGAAUGAGUGUAAAUAUGUGUUUACACCACUGGUUUCAUCAGAGAAGCUAUGCAAAGAUGAUGGCAGUGGUUCAGCAAGUGAGGAACAGUAUCGAAGAAUUGUUGGAAGUUUGUUGUAUCUCACAGCAACUCGACCAGAUAUAAUGUAUGCUGCAAGCCUUCUAGCUCGAUUCAUGCACUGUCCUACAAAUAAACAUCUUGGAACAACCAAAAGAGUGCUUAGGUACAUCAAGGGAACUUUAGAUUAUGGUUUAGAGUAUGUAAAGGGAAAGAAUGCAAUGCUAAUCGGAUUCUGUGAUAGUGAUUGGGGAGGAUCUGUUGAUGAUAGCAAGAGUACUUCUGGUUAUGCAUUUUCCUUUGGCAGUGGAGUGUUCUCAUGGGCCUCAGUGAAGCAGAAUUGUGUAGCACUCUCUACAGCAGAAGCAGAGUACAUCAGUGCCUCUGAAGCAACUGCUCAAGCCAUUUGGCUUAGAUUUGUUCUUGAAGAUUUUGGUGAGAUGAAAACUGAAGCAACUCCAGUACACUGUGAUAAUACAUCAGCAAUUGCAAUUACUAAAAAUCCUGUUUUCCAUCAGAAAACCAAGCACAUUGACAGAAGGUAUCAUUUUAUCAAGAAUGCACUCCAGGAAGGGAUAAUCGAUUUGGUGUACUGUCCAACAAAUGAGCAGGUGGCAGACAUAUUUACUAAGGCUUUGUCUAAGGAUCGAUUCAACUAUCUUCGAGAUAUGCUUGGUGUGAAAUCAGCUCAAAACUUAAAGGGGAGUGUUGAACUAUAAGUAUUUGAGCUGAAAUGUUUUAGAAUAAGUUUUGUUUAAAUUGGUGAAUCCACUUGUGCAGAAUGAGGCAAAGUGUAAAUGUCUAGUUUUGUAAAAAGGCCAUGAGUGCCAUGUGUUGGUAGAUCCAUGAAAUUAGAGAGAUGUGUGUCUAGGAUGAAAUGUAGUAGUUUAUGUGGUCCCAAGUUAAGGACCUUCAGUUAAUGUAAAGCACGUGAGUGCUCAUUUCUGAAAAAAAAAGAAGCAAUUUUCCUCUGUAAAGUUUCUGCAGAGAAAAGAACAAGAAACCGUUCGCUUUCUCCAACCUUUGUUCAUCGUGUGUUUUCUGUACAGCUCCAUCUUCAUCAAAACUCUCAUUGAAAUCAAGUUACACUAACACAAAUACCCUUCAGCUGCAGCAGCCAAACGACCCGAUGGAAUACUUCAAGUUCAAAAAGGGCAGAGACUCUCCCAGCGAUGCACGCACGGCGCUGCUAGUUAUUGCUGUACUAGUGGCCACCACCACCUUUCAAGCCGGACUCAGCCCUCCGAUGGGCAUUUGGCAGGACAGCCCUGGAUCAAACAUGAAUGGGACUGGCAGUGGGAGCAAUGAACCAGCGCACACAGCAGGGCAGUCCAUCAUGAGUUCUUACAAGAUAUUAGGAUUUUUCUUCUUUUACACUUCCAACUCGAUUAGACUUUCGUUUUCGCUUUACAUGAUCCAUGUCCUCACCACCAAUUUCCCUCUGCAGUUGGAGCUUAACAUUUGUAUGUUCACGAUGUUCUUGACGUACUGUUCUGCAAUUUCCGAAAUUGGACCGGAGAUCAUGUCCCACCCUGUGUUCGCUUUAACUAUGCCAGCGUUGGUAGCGUUGGUAAGGGUGUGGUAAGCGUAAUGCACCCGCUUAGAUGACCUGCAGUAAAUUGGACUCGAAGGCUCAUUUUAAAAUAGUUGUACAUUACACGUCUGUUUCCAGGAUCAUCGUUGGCGCAUUCAUCAUAGAAGCUCCAGCUUCGUAUCAAAGUCAGUCGUGACUAUCAUAAAUACCGUACAUUUGCUAUGUAUUACUAAAUCUUUGGUGUGGACUUCUUAUAUGAUAUAGCGUUAAGAAUUCAGUACGAAAACAGUAAAACAGAAUUAUUUGCACUAAUUCUUCCUCUUGAUUUAUGAUGGUGUUAGUUCUAUAAGUCGACAUCUUUGCCAGCCGCAAUUGAUACUGCCGUUUGAUACUGCAAAUGAAAGCCCGGUGGAUGCGCAAAAUUUCAAGCCAAUCUUACAGAUUGUAUGAAGAAAGGAACAAUGUAGUUGGUAGCACAGAAGUUUAUAAUCUUCUAGUUGGAGUAAUCUAAUUAAGGCUAUAAUAUUCAUACAGAAGGUUUUACAAAAUGAUCAUCUUUCGACAUGUAUAACAAUGGCGAUCUUUAAUCACAAUGACUUGUACAGCUCGAUCAAAUGAGAAGCAUGGAGGCACCACGUAGGAGCCACGGUGCAGCCCAAACUUUGCAGAUAAGAAAUCUGGUAAUUCACAGCAUAAGAAUCGAAUUACCGGGUCUCCUGACCAUCCUACGUACCAAUGUGCGCACAAGGAAAUGAGUAAGGUAAUCAAAUGCUGAGUCCUGCGUACCUGUUUCGGUGUUGGUUCGGAUGAACCCAUUUAGUUCUCAAUCCGUAACUUCUGGAAAUGCUCCUGAAAGCAUAAAUUUAAGCACAUCAUGAAAUCCCCCUUGCGGGAUUUUCCUUAUUUUUUCUAACUCAUCUUCCCACUCGCGUAUAGUUUUGUUACCAAGAAAAGCUCCCAGGACUUUGAGUGCUAAAGGCAGGCCUUGAGCAUAUUUUACAACACGAUUCGAUAGAUCAUCAUAAUCUCUGGUGGGUUGGUUUUUUCCGAAAGCGUGCUGCCUAAAGAGUUUCAGAGCUCCAGAAUCACUCAAAGUCUUGGGAUUAUAUAUCACAUCAGCUACGCUUAGUAAUUGCGAAUCUCUAGUUGUUAUAAUAAUUCUGCUUCCACCACCAAAGAAAUGUGGCUCUCCAAGUAGAGCUUCAAUUUGUUCUAAUUUGUCCACAUCAUCAACAACAAUAAGAACUUUUCUCUGGCCAAGGCUUUUUAACAUCACCUGAAAACCUUUACUCGAUAUGUCAGAGCUCCCCACCUUGUUGUCCGAGAUACUAGAUAGAAGUUGUGUCUGCAUAAGUAGUUCGCCGUGCUUCAUGAAACCCUCCUUGACAUUUUUAAGAAAGCAACAAGCUUCAAAUCGACAAGCGAUUUUAUCAUAAACAGCAUUAGCGAUGGUAGUUUUACCUAAACCACCCAUACCCCAUAUUCCAACAACUCGAACAUUAUUCGUUUCACCUCCGGGAGGAUAUAAUAAUAAAUGCAUUUCAUGCAUGCGAGAAUCCAUGUCAACCAAGCCAUUAUCUUUGCUUGAUGUUGAUGAGAUGUCGAUCAAUUUCCUAUAAACAUAUUCUACAAUUUCCUCAGUAAGCACCACAUCAUUCCUGUCAAAUUAAAAAAUACAAUAUAAUAACACCACCAAAUAAUAAUUAAUGGGUUUUUUCAUCUGUUAGUUAAAAAAAAAAACAGAAAUUAAAACUAAAAACUAGAUAUUUAUAAAAUUACCGCAAAACGUUACAAAAAUCCCAAAAAUUAAUAGGAAACUAAAACAAAUUAGAAUUUACUCAUAGUUUCGCGAAUCCCAGCCGGAUAAACUGGUGGCAGUUGUAAGAGCGGAUCUCCAGCUCUGAACCUCUUCCAUUUCGGCGUUAGAAUCGCGAUCGUGCUGAGCAAAAGCUUCCGCGAAACUUUUCUUGAGUUUACGAACAUCAGACGGAUCAACUUCAUAGAAAAUGGGGAGUACAAUCUGGUUAUUGGUAUCCUUGCAUUUCAAGAUUUGCACGAGUUCUUUCAAGCACCAAGUGGAAGAAGCAUAGUCUUGAGAGAAAACUACAAUCGAAAGCCUUGACUCUCGAAUCGCUGUCAGGAGCUCAGAAAGGUGGUCGCCUUUUCUGAGCUUCUCGGCAUCAAUGAAGGCGUUGAUUGGUUUCUUAGCCAGAGCGUUGUAGAGAUGGCUGACGAAGCCCCUGCGAGUGUCUUCCCCUCUGAAAUUGAUGAACACAUCGUAUUUGCAACCAAGGCCAGAAGAAGAUGAAGAAGAAGAAGCAGCCAUUAUUAAUCGAUCGCACCUGGUCAGCGAUGAUCGAGCAGCUAAGACUAAGAGAAUUGUAAGUACAGAGAUACUCAAUAGAUCUACAAAUUGGAUCACCAGAAAUUAGUCUGAUCGAUACCAAGUCAAUGAGUCAAUGCAAAAGGGAAAAAGGGGAAAGGGAAAUUAUGCUUUAUGUUUUUUCACAUCUUCUUCGGGGAAAUUUCGGUGUGAAAGGAAUCUUAUCCUUUUGAUUUUUUAACCGAAGCAAAUGCGAAGAAAAGGGUCAAGGUGGAAAAUUGAAUAGGACAAGGAUUGUCAGCCCUUCCACAUCUGGUGCUCUUCCGUGCCCUUUUGUUUAUGUUGUCACGGUUAAACCACAUUAACAUUUUAUAUUACUAUUUAUUUUUGUCUUAUUAUCUCUAUAAAAAAACAAUAUAAAAUGUUGACGUGACUUAACCGUGACCACACAAAACAGAAGGGCACGAAAGAACACCGAAAAUAGGAGAGCUGACAAUCCUUGUCCAAACUUAACCGUAAGACUUUUUGUAGUGAGCUACACCGGAUGACUUGAUAUAUUAUGACGAAAUAAACUAUUUAAAUAUACGGCUUACAUUGCGCAGUGCGCAUACUGGAUAAACAAUUAGCGCACCUGAUUGUAGGGAAUGGUGAUGCUCAUCGCUUAAUUUCGUUAUUGGAUUAGUUUAAGUUUUGAGGUUUGUGAAAUGGACAGAUAUAAAUUUUAAAAUUUAAACUCAGUCAAUAAUAAUAAAUAUGGUAGUGAGAAAAAAUGCACCAGUGACUUGUGGUUUAGAGACACACUCUCAAACUUAAAUAACAAUUUUCAUGCUUUCCAACAACACAAAAAUUUUAUAACUAAAAAUCAAUCAAAACAUAAUAAUUGAAUGAACGAAGAAAGCGUAUUAAAAUAAGGUUUUCUGACAUAUUUUGAGUGACACUUGCCACAAUAACGAAGAAAGCGUGGUAUUGUUGCACCUGCCAUAAAGUCAAGCUUGACAUUCUACAGUUGGAAGGCUAGCUGGCUGACUAGAAAUGGCCAGCCCGUUGGCUUGAUUUGGGGGUUUUGGCCAGAUGGGGCCCACAAGCCCUUUGGCCUAGCCUUCGAUUGAAGAUGGUUUUCGUGUCAUUCCGAGCUAUUUUUAGCCCUAUGACCUUUUGGCUGGGUCAGUUAGAGAUGGCUUUAGGUGCGGUGAUCGUAAUACCCUGAAAAUUUAAAUAUAUGAAUAUGUUGGGAAAAAUUGAAAAAAAAUCGAUUUAUGGUUAUGGAAAAUUUAAUUGAGAACUUUUAAAGUUUUUCCGGAAAUUAUUAUAAAUUACGUAUUUGUAUUCUUAAGAUUUUAUAUGAAUUUUCAAGAAUUUAUAAUAAUUUAAUUUAGUUUAGUUUUAAAUUAAACUAGUUACAAAGUUGGAAGUUUGGAAAUUAUUUAUUUAAAAUAUGUAGACCAUUCGAGGUCACAAUUUAUAUUUUUGAAUAGAGCUCGAUCUCAUGAACGCGUGGCGCAAACCGUUAGUAAAACGGAGUUCUAACGAAGAAGUUAUUAACAUUUAAAGUCAUGAAAAUUUUGGUAAUUUUAUUCAUUUUAGAAGGCUCCAGAAAAUCUAGAGCAAUGAGUUGUGCCACGUGUGUGGCUGGGAUGAAAACAAUUGGAGAGAUGGAUGGUUGUGAUUAAAGGAAAAUAAUAGAAAUGAGGGUAACCAAUGGGGAGAGAGAAUGAGGAGGGGAAAGGAGAAAAAGGAGAAGGAGGGGAACCCGACCCUCUCCUUCGACCCGGUUUUCUGACCCGAGCCCCACGCACACCCAACACCGAUUUCGGUGUUUUUUCCCGGUGAAUUGAGCGCCGCCACCACCCCUCCUGACUCCUCUCAUUGUCACGAACGGUAUCCGUCCACAUUUGGCUCAGUUUUGAUCAUGAUUUCAGAAGAAAAGGGAGAUGGACCCGUGAGGGUUUCAGAGUUUUCCGACGACAAAUCCGUCGUCUCCGGUCUCCACCGUUCCCACCACCACCACCUCCAGUUGAUUUCACUUGAACCCAGGAGCAAGGCCUAAGCACUAGCAGGGGCAUCGGAACAUCAAUGGAGUCGAAUCGAAUCCCACCAUUUCUAGGGUUUCCGGCGAGUUUGAGUGAAAUUGGGGCACUUCCACGCCAAAUUGGACUUAGCCAUAGGUAUGAAAUUUACUCCACUCACUGAGAUCUACUUGCCUGUAAAAUUUGGUAAUUUUUUGAAAUAGUUGAAUUUUCCGACAAGCCGGAGUGGCCAACCUCCACCCACGACUGCGGGUGCGGCGGCGCACGGUCAGGGAGCCGACAUUGUGUUAUUAUGCGAAUUUCGUUAUUCUAAUUAGGCUUUUGAGACCUAACUUCUGUGGUUUGAAUAUUAAUACGAUUGUGGUAUAUGUUGGAUUAAAUAAAUAUAUUCGGAUUUGGUUUGAGUUUUGGAAAUGUGAACUACGAAUGACUUGAUUCCUGUUUAGGGUACAUAGGUAGUAUAACAAGAUGUUAGAUGCAGCUAUACAAUAAGUUAGAUUAAAUAAACGAGACAAAGCUUUGAUUGAGAAAGUGAACUGAGUAAGGAGUUUGGAAUUUUAUUAUAAAAGGAAAUCUUAUGUUUUGUACAUAUAAAUUCUUGUUAUAAAUUGUGUGAACGUUUUAUAAAUUUAAGCAAGAAAUUAUGUAAUUAUGAUAAUUGGACAAUUGAGUUUGAUCUCUUGUUGGGAAAUAGAGUCGAUAUGAAGGUAUUGGUGUUGAAGUAAAAAUAUAAAUGUAUGUUUUGCUAAGUAAGUUUGGUGGAUACUUAUGUGAGUAGUUAGGAAAAUUUUUUUUUAAAGAAUAAAGUGUACCGAUAAUAAAUCAAACAAGAGAAGUGAAUUGGGCCUAUCAUUGGAAAUAUUUCCUGAAAAUAAAUAUUUCGGGGUUGGGGCGUUUCAGUGAUUGUCUUUGAGAUAUCGAAGGUUCUGUGUGAUCGAAUACUUCGUCCUCCUCCAGAGCCGCCACUGUUGAGAGGGUUACUUGCCUCAUGCAAACAUUAUGAAUUGUAAGUGAUGAAUUGUUCUGAUGAUGAGGUUUAUUUUUUAACUCAUUAUGUUUUGAGUUUAAACAUUUUUCCCUCUCUUUAAUGUAUAUAAGAUUAGUGUAAAAUAUUGUUCGUAAUAAAAAAAUAUAAAAAUGAUACAUUCUCAUUCAUAUAUAAGAUGAUCAAGUGUGGAAUUAAUACUUUUAACGAGUGACUCAAUUAACCAUUUUCAUUUCUUACGCAUUCAAAAUUAGACAAAUUCUUUGCAUACAUUUAAAAAAAAAAAGAUAUUCAGGAGACUUUGAAACUAUUACAUUACGGGAGAGGGAAUUUUGAACUCGGGACGCAUGAGUAGAACCCAAACGCUUCUCCACUAGGAUAUUAGACUAGUGCCGGUCCUGAAUUUUUUGGUGCCUGGAGCGAAUAAUGUGCCCUUUUCAAGUACAACAACAUAAAUUAAAAAGAAAUAUUUAAAGAGGGUUGGAACCCAGUCGAAGCCGGGGGGCUAGGCCCUCACGCCCAUAUUAUAUUACUCUGAAAACAAAAAAACAUACAACAUGGGAACAUAGUACUGAAACCUCGACAAUCAAAAGCAAAAUCAAAUACAACCACUCCAAGCAGUUAACAUAGCCAUCACAUAUUGAAUCCAAAAGGUUGACUACCCAUUCGCUGCAUAUAAUGUGCAGAAGAUAACAAAUUCUGAAGUGAUAUGCUCCCAAGUAUGAUAUUGGGCAGAAAAGAGCGGCGGCUUCAACCACUUCUUCAGCUAUAUCCGGCUGGGUGAGAGCAGCUAAAGACAUGAUUGUUCCCUAAUUACAUGAAUACAUGGAGUAAACACCAAAAGUAGCAGCAAGGGAAGGAGAUUUGAAGUAGAUGAAGAGGUGUGAAGAGUCUAAAGACCUGUGAAUGUCCAACAACAAAGACUUCGGAGCUUGUUGUCGAAUAUAUGCAGCGUAUCAUUUCUGACAGAUCAAAUCGAGCCAAUUCCUGCCAACUCCAAUCCCAAAAAUCCUACAGUAAAGCAUAAAUCUUAUUCUUUUCUGAUAAAGAUGUGCCCCUAACUCCAAUGUGUUUGACGCACAAUUCCUACCCAUACAUAGAAACCUUCAUCUGCAAAGACAAAUUCCAGCGAUUCUUCUGGAGAAUUUAAGAACCAUGCAUCACCUGGUUAGAGCCUAAUUUAAAAUGUAUCCGAUGGAUGUUCAUCAAUUUACACAAUAGUUAGUUUCAAGAAAGGAAAUUUCAACAGAACCUGAAAACUUCAGAUCAGGGGGCACCAAAUAGUGAGCUAUACAUUCAAAAUUUAAAAUAAUCAACUUAGUAGGACCAAUAUGUUGAAAAAAUUAGAAGGAGCUAUGAAAGUAAGGCUUUUCACUAAUCAGGCGUCCAGAGAAUCAAUAUUUUACUCACGUAUCAGUUACGGGGAACAAUCCCCACCAGAGCAAUCUCAUUAGUUCUUCACAUCUCAACCGUACAGAAAUUACACUAACAAACACGACUCCUGUUAGUCCUUCACAUCUCAAAUCCAGGAAGUACCCAUCUUUCGUCUGAAUCUGGAAAAUAAGCAGCACUCAAUUUAACAAUCUGGGUAUCUCAAAGUUACUCACUUUAAUCACAAAUUUAACAAUUAAACAUAUAAAUGGGCAUUUUCUAGUGAAAUAUUAGUAUAGUACUCACUGUGUGCUCGGAGCAAGAGCACCCAGAAAGCUCAAUGAGCUGUGCAGUGAGGGACUGUAGCGGUGAAUGACGGCAACCGAUUCUGUAAAAUUCAGUCGAGUUUUAGGCGAUUUCGGAGGUCAAGAGGCUGAUGAGGAAAGCUGGGACGGAAGGGCACUGGUCUGGAAGAAAGGCUCUGGUCGCCGCUGUCGCGAUUUGCAAAGGAAGAAGUGACAUUCUUCCAAAUAGGAAGAUGAAAUCGUUAAGGCUUUUAUUUAUUCCUCCUCUUGAUGCGCCCUUUUAGACUGCCAAUUCCAGACGAUCCAAUCUCAUAUAUCUUCCCUGCAAAAGCAUGUGUGCCAGACUUCAAGAUCAAAAUUUUCCAACAAAAGAAACUUAAAGAUCAAACUCGUUAGCGGAAUAAAUGGUGCACAAAGGGAGUUAAAAUCUUGACAGAUGUAUAUUUUUGGCAGAUUUUAUGUGAGCAUGCAAUUUUCUGUAGAACUUAAAAGCUGCAUAGCUGCUCUUGUUCGUUGUAUUGAAUACCAUGGUUUUACUGAUGAAUGCAGAGUUUGCUGACGAUUCAUACGACAAGCAAAUGAAUCAUCCACUGUAAUUUGCAGAGUUUACUGAUGAAUGCCCCACAUAUACCCAAAAAAAAAAAGUCAUUUAAACAAAUUCAGAGCGUUCAUCCACUGUAAUUUGCAGAUAUAGACACGUUAAGAUAAAAGGAAAUGCAAAGUACCUUUCACCCAAAUUGGAGGAGCAACGGUGGCAUUAGCAAGUUAGCAACGGGAAUUGACAUACCAACAUCUUCACAGUUUCUGCACAAGCACAAAUCAAUAGAAUCCGGCGGUGGAGUUAUGUACCUCUCCUUGGAAAAUGCCACCUCUUGGGAUUUCAAAAUAUGCGGCCGUGGCUAGCCAUCUGACAACGCCAAUUCCACCAAAGCCGCCGCAAUGGGGCAUAGUGUCCGAUUGAUUGCUUCAAACAGAGUACCCAAAACCCCUGAAAAUUAUUUCUUUAUUCAGAUAAUAAAAUUUCCCAAAUUUCGAAUUUUAAUUCCGUAUCAAAAAUAGGGUUUGAAUUUUGAUUACCUAGAAAUUGGAGGGUUGGGGCGAACACGGAGCGUGUCGGGAAUACCUACAAGGCUUUUGCAGUGUAUCAGAUUUAAAUACUGAAGCCCCGUAAGCCGUUCAAUCCAGGGGGAAAGCUCUUUGAUAGAUGUUCCAUCCAAGAAAAGCUCUCUUAAUCCUUCCAUAUCUUCUUUAAUGCUUGGAAACACCUCAAAUUUUGUACAACCGGAAAGAGAGAGAGAGACAAGGGACUUGAGCUGACAAAUGCUGCUUGGAAGACUCUUAAGUUCCUUGUAAUUUUUUAGUUUCAAAUGAUUCAAUCCUGUGAGAUUAUUAAUUGAUGAUGGCAAUUCUUUAAUUUUUGACCAUGAUAAAUCAAGAAUUUUUAACCCCUCAAUCACUUCUGAAAUAUCUGGAAACAUCUCAAGAUUCCAACAACCAUAAAAAUAAAAGGUUUUGAGAGAUUUCAUACGAAUGCUGCUUGGAAGACUCUUAAGUUUUUGACAAUUUGAUAGGUUCAAAUGAUUCAACCCCGUGAGAUUAUUAAUUGACGAGGGUAGUUCUUUAAUUUUUGACCCGGAUAAAUCAAGCUCUUCUAACCCCUCAAUACCUUCUGAAAUCGAUGGAAACAUCUCAAGGCUGGAGCAAUCAUAAAGAUUAAAGGUUUUCAGACACUUCAUAUGAAUGCAGCUGGGAAGACUCUUAAGUUCCUUGCAAUCUUUUAGGUUGAAAUGACUCAACCCUGUGAGAUUAUUAAUUGACAGGGGCAGUUCUUUAAUUUUUGACCAGGAUAAAUUAAGCUCUUCUAACUCCUCCAUACCUUCCGAAAUCUCUGGAAACAUCUCAAGACUAGAGCAGCGAGAAAGAUUAAAGGUUUUGAGAGAUCUCAUACGAAUUUUGCUGGGUAGAAUCUUAAGUUCCUUGCAAUUUGAUAGGUUCAAAUGACUCAACCCCGUGAGAUUAUUAAUUGAUGGGGGCAGUUCUUUAAUUUUUGACCUGGAUAAAUUAAGUUCUUCUAACUCUUUCAUACCUUUUGAAAUCUCUGGAAACAUCUCGAGACUGGAGCAGCCAAGAAGAUUAAAGGUUUUGAGAGAUCUCAUACGAAUUUUGCUAGGUAGAAUCUUAAGUUCCUUGCAAUGUGAUAGGUUCAAAUGACUCAACCCCGUGAGAUUAUUAAUUGAUGGGGGCAGUUCUUUAAUUUUUGAAUAGGAUAAAUUAAGUUUUUCUAACUCCUCCAUACCUUUUGAAAUCUCUGGAAACAUCUCAAGAUUGGAGCAGCCAGAAAGAUCAAAGGUUUUGAGAGAUCUCAUACGAAUUUUGCUGGGUAGAAUCUUAAGUUCCGCGCACCAAUUCAGAUCCAAUAAAACAAGGUUUGUAAGAGUCGAAAUAGACGCGUGAACCUCAACUAAGCUUAUACAACUUCGAACAAUUAGCCUCUCAAGAUUUGGCACAUUUGUGAAGUCAGGGGUUUCCUUAAGGGAUUGACAAUGACUUAAAUUGAUGAAUUUCAACUUUUCCUGCGUCUGUUAAAACAUUCAGGAAAACAUGCAUUACUUAAUAAGACAUCUCACUCAAAGCCCAAACAUUUAAAAGAAACAAAUACAUGUAAAUGAUUGUACGUACCUGGGUUCCUUCCCAAAGUCGAUCAAUGAGACUAUAUUGCAUGUCAAGUUCAACAAGAUUUUCGAAUUGAAAGUUGGAUGGCAAAGACUUGAGAGGGAAAUCAAGCCAGGAGAGAUACCUCAGGUUAAGCAACUUUAAGGACCCAAACAGGUAUUGUUUGCAGUACUCAUCUUUAAAAACGAAGUGCCUAUGACUGAUCUCGAGAAGUCUUUGUUGAGUCCUUCCAACAACAGCUUCAGCAUUUAAGUUCCUAUGAUGACUGAUCUUGAGAAGUCUUCGUUGAGUCCUUCUAACAACAGAUUCAGCAUUUAAGUGCCUAUGACUGAUCUUGAGAAGUCUUAGUUGAGUCAUUCUACCAAAAGCUUCAGCAUUUAAGCAUGGCCAGCCUGAGUACGAGAAAUCCACAAUUAUGCUUUCAACUGUUUUUGUAGCCUGUGCAAAUCAAAGUAAAGGAAAAUACAGAGAACCUUAGUUUUGAUUAUGAAAUUAAUGAUUGUUUCUUAAGGAGCCGUCUGAUAAUCAUUUCAUUUUCUGUUUAAUUGUUUUCAAUUUCAUUAUUACAACAAUGAAAACUAAAAAUUGAAAACAAAAAUGGUUAUCAAACGGGUCUAAGAAAUUGAUUUUGAUCAAAAGUUGAACCUUUCUACUAACAAUUGCAUAAGAAAAAUAUUUCUCACCGCAUUUUCAGUUAGCACCUGACGAACAUCUUCAUAACUCCACAACCUACUUCGUCUCCCAGGAUCUUUGAUAGAUUCUUGGCGGACAAUUUCCCAACCCAUUUCCUCUAAUGAAUCAUGCAUCUCCAAUUCCCCCAACCUUGAGACAGUUAUGAGAGAUCGAUCGAUUAGAACUUUUAUUCCUGUAUGAGGAUGGAAACCACAACUGUCCAGAAUUUCAGUUGCCUGGUCUUCCUUCAUCCCUUUAAAGAAACAUGCAAUAUCUAGAAAGAUGUCCUUCUGCGUGUCAUCUAGUCCAUCGAAGCUUGUUUUAAGCACAUCAUGAACUCCCCUUUGUGGGAUUUUCCUUAUUUUUUCCAACUCACCUUCCCACACGCGUAUGGUUUUUUUAUGCAAAAAAGCUCCCAAGACUUUGAGGGCUAAAGGCAGACCUUGAGCAUAUUCUACAACACGAUUCGAGAGAUCAUCAUAAUCUCUAGUGGGUUGGUCAUUUCUGAAGGCGUGCUGCCUAAAGAGUUUCAGAGCUCCAGAAUCACUCAAAGUCUUGGGAUUAUAUAUCACAUCAGCUAUGCUUAGUAACUGCGAAUCUCUACUUGUUAUAAUAAUCCUACUUCCACCACCAAAGGAAUGUUGCUCUCCAAGUAAAGCUUCAAUUUGUUCUAAUUUGUCCACAUCAUCAACAACAAUAAGAACUUUUCUCUGACCAAGGCUUUUUAACAUCACCUGGAAACCUUUACUCAAUAUGUCAGAAAUCCCCACCUUGUUGUCUGAGAUACUAGAUAGAAGUAGUGUCUGCAUAUGUAGUUCACCCUGCUUCAUGAAACCCUCCUUGACAUUUUUAAGAAAGCAACCAGCUUCAAAUCGACAAGAGAUUUCAUCAUAAACAGUUCUAGCGAUGGUUGUUUUGCCUAAACCACCCAUACCCCAUAUUCCAACAACGCGAACAUUAUUCGUUUCACCUCCGGGAGGAUAUAAUAAUAAAUGCAUUUCAUGCAUGUGAGAAUCCAUGUCAACCAAGCCAUUAUCUUUGCUUGAUGUUGAUGAGAUGUCUAUCAAUUUCCUAUAAACAUCUUCUACAAUUUCCUCAAUAAGCACCACAUCAUUCCUGUCAAAUUUAAAAAACAUAUAAUAACAACAUCAAAUAAUAAUUAAUGGGUCUUUUUCAUCUGUUAGUUAAAAAAAAAUAGAAAUUAAAACUAAAACUAAAAUCUAAACGUUACAAAAAUCCCAAAAAUUAAAAGGAAACUAAAACAAAUUAGAAUUUACUCAUAGUUUCGCGAAUCCCAGCCGGAUAAACAGGUGGCAGUUGUAAGAGUAGAUCUCCAACUCCGAACCUCUUCCAUUUCGGCGUUAGAAUCGCGAUCGUGCUCAGAAAAGCUUGUGCGAAACUUUUCUUGAGCUUACGAACAUGAGACGGAUCAACUUCAUAGAAAAUGGGGAGUACAAUCUGGUUAUUGGUAUCCUUGCAUUCCAGGAUUUGCACGAGUUCUUUCAAGCACCAAGUGGAAGAAGCAUAGUUUUGAGAGAAAACUACAAGCGAAAGCCUUGACCCUCGAAUCGCUGUCAGGAGCUCGGAAAGGUGGUCGCCUUUUCUGAGCUUUUCCGCAUCAAUGAAGGCGUUGAUUGGUUUCUUAACCAGAGCGUUGUAGAGAUGGCUGACGAAGCCCCUGCGAGUGUCUUCCCCUCUGAAAUUGAUGAACACAUCGUAUUUCCAACCAAGGUUAGAAGCAGCAGCCAUUAAUCGAUCGCACCUGGUCAGCGAUGAUCGAGCAGCUAAGACUAAGAAUAAUGUAAGAACAGAAAUACUCGAUUGAUCUAUAAAUUGAAUCACUGAAGAAACUGGUCUGAUCGAUACGAAGUCAACGAAGACAAAGAAAAUAAUGCUUUAUGUGUUUUCACAUCUUCUUCCGGGAAAUUUAACGAAAAUAAUUUUCCUUUAGGCAAAAUUGACUUCAAAAUAUAAAAAUAUUCUUUCAAUUAUGGACAUAUGACAUUUCGGUGUGAAACGAAUAUGCUUAUUUGGUUUGGUUUGGACCCAAGAAAGGACAAAGAUUGUCUGCCCUCCUACUUCCGGUGCCCUUCCAUGCCCUUCUGUUUGUGUAGUCACGGUUAAGCCACGUCAACAUUUUAUAUUACUAUUUAUUUUUGUCUUAUUAUCUCUAUAAAUAAGCAAUAUAAAAUAUUAACGUGGCAUAAUCGUGACCACAGAAAACAAGAGUUGGCACCAAAAAUAGGAGGACAAACAACCCUUGUCCCCCAAGAAAAUGCUAAGAAAGGAUGGUUUAGCAGCUGUGCAUGAGGGGACUGGGUCAAAGUACCCUGUUGAAUCCACUCUUGCCUACCCAACAACUUAUUUAGUUAUUUGUAAGCCCGAAAUAUAUCCCGAUCUUUCUAUUCACACCAAAAGUAAGUAGAGUGAUAAGAAAUAUUUCCGGUUAAGUAUAAGCAUGUCAGUCUGCAGCAGCAUAGCCACGUUAAGGGCUACCGUGGGCUGUAGUCUAUGUAAUUUUCAGUGAAAAAUAAAAUUUUACAUGUAAUUUUUAUUGAUUUUCAAAUAUACUUCUUCAUAUAUACAGUCUUUAAUCUGAAUUAUCUCAUUUUAAUUAUAUAAUUAUAUAAUACAGUUUACAAACUGUCUCUUUUUCUUACAUCAUUUUUCUCACCGCUUCUUGCACAUGUACAAGUUUGGAUUUUGUUUGAAUUUUAACACGUAUUUGUUUAAAAACGAAAAUCCUUGGCUUACAUAGUGAAAAUUUUCUUAAGUUAGCUGAUACUUUGAAAAAUACAGGAUCAAGUUUCUUUGUUUAUAAAGAUUUAAAUCUUUAAGCUAGCCCACCCGGUGAAAAAUUCCUAACUCCGUCAUGCAUUUUACAUAUAAUUUUUAUUGAUUUUCAAAUGUAGUCCAUCAUAUAUACCGUCUUUAAUCUGAAUUCUCUUGGUUUAAUUAUAUAAAAUUAUAUAAUACAGUUUACAAACCGUCUCUUUUCUUACAUCCUUUUUCUCACUGCUUCUUAUACAUGUACAAGUUUUGAUUUGUUUGAAUUUUAACACGUAUUUGUUUAAUAACGAAAAUCAUUGGCUUACAUAGUGAAAAUUUUCUUAAGUUAGCUGAUACUCUGAAAAAUACAAGAUCAAGCUUCUUUGUUUAUAAAGAUUUAAAUCUUUAAGCUAGCCCCCUGGUGAAAAAUUCCUAGCUUCGCCAUUGAGCAUGUGGUAUAUCCUAUGAUAUCAUGGACGGCAAACGAGCGAUUAAUGGUUGUUUGGCAUUUAAUUUGAUGUCACGGUAGUAACGGUACUCUAAAAUCUUUGAUAUACUUGCUUUCAGCUACAAAACUACUAGAACUCCGAAAAUUGCUUAUGAAAAUAAAAAUAUUGACUAGAUUUGAACUUGUAUAAUCUAUGUCUUCACUACACAUUGUUGUGUUCGCUCGUGUUCUAAAGUUGACGCUAGCUAGAAGGUCACAGCAAGAAGCAGAGGAGGCUAACUAUUGCAGAAAUUUGUUUAUUCAAAAGCAUUUGUAAAAACACAUAUUGAAAUUAAUUCACGCCAAAAAUAAAUAAUACAGUGGUGGCAGGCACACUACAACAAUAGGGUUUUAACCCUAUGCAUUUUUAUAUUGGCUUUUGUGUUAUCAGUUGCGACCGCUCGGUGGAGAGAGCAUUUUAUGUUAUGAAUAAAAAUACCACUGCGUAACAAAAUAGAAGAUUAAUGGUUGAGUGAUAGCUGGUUUGUUUGCAAUGAGAGAGAUGUUUUUGCUUUUAUUGAUAAUGAAUCUAUAUACGCGAUGUUUUCAUAGCAUAAAACAUCGCCGACAACAAUUGUAACUUUUUGUGUUGAUAAAUUAGGAAAGACAUUAAUAUUUUCUAAUAUCUAAAAGAAUUUGGAUGUCUACAUUUUUUUGGAAAACUUUUUACCCUUCUAAAUUUCGCGCCUCUCCCGACAAUUCCUAGCUUCGCCACUGCUAUAGUCAACUCCAAGUCUUGUCCAUGAUAUCAAUAUCCCUACUGUAAACGGUGACUUCAAUAUAAGCUAACAAAAAGUUUGUAUAGAGAAGAUAUAUGCAUGAAAAAAUGGCAGUGUUUGUGUUGCCGAACGGAUGAUACUGAAAUACCUAAACCCAAGUCAAGCUCCUUUAGUCCACAAAAACAAAAGUUUAGAAUACAAUAAUGUUUGCAUAUAGAUUGGAGAAACGACAUACCACCGGCCAGGAAGGUGCAGUGAAAGAGAGAGGAAAAGAGGAAAGAAACAAAUACGAAAUGACAAAGACUAUCAAAUAGAUUAUAACAAUGACUUCUUAGCGGUGAUCACAACUAUUCAACUAUCGAUGAUGCUUUAUUUUAGAUUGAGAUGUGGAAGCAUCUGAGAAGUAGCAUGUCAACAACCAUUACACAAUAAUAUUGUCUAAUAUCUAAAAGAACUUGGAUAUCUACAUUUUUUUAGAAUCUUUUACCCUUAUAAAUUUCGCACCUCUUCAGACAAUUUCUAGCGUUGCCGCUGCUUCAGUCAACUCCAAGUCCUAGUGGUUCUUGUCUAUGAUAUCAAUAUACCCAUUGUAAAUGGUGAUUUCAAUAUACAUAGAGUGUGUACAGGGGAGAUAUAUGUAUGAAAAAAUGGCAGUUGUUGUAUCUGUGUUGACGAACGGAUGGUACUGGAAUACCUAAACCCAAGUCAAGCUUCUUCAGUCCACAAAAACAAAAUGUUUAUUAUAUAAUAAUGUUUGCAUAUGGACUUGCGAAACAACAUACCGCCGGUUGGGAAGGUGCAAUGAAAGAGAGAGGAAAGGGGGAAAUAAACGAACAAGAAAUGACAAAGGCUAUCCAAUAUAUUAUAAAAUGACUUCUUGGCAGUGAUUAAGCUAUUCAAUUAUCAAUAAUGCAUUAUUCUUAAAGUUUAUAAUAUAAUAAUGUUUGCAUAUGCACUUGCGAAACGACAUAUCGUCGACUGGGAAGGUGCAAUGAAAGAGAGAGGAAAGGAGGAAAUAAACGAACAAGAAAUGACAAAGACUAUCCAAUAUAUUAUAAAAUGACUUCUUGGCAGUGCUUAAGGUGUUCAACUAUCAAUAAUGCAUUAUUCUUAGGUUGAAAUGUGGAAGCAUCCGAGAAAUAGCAUGGUAACAACCACACAAUAAACAAAAGUGAUUAGAGAAAAGAACCAAAUGUGAAAGGAUAAUUAAAAACAGUUAUUCAAGAUCGGCGGUAAAUCAUUCAGCUAUUUACAAGAUUUGAACUUAGAACCGCAAUCUACUAGAUUGUUGUAUCAACUAUUAAGUGGUGUUCUAAUAUAAUUCUUAGGAAUUUCAAGGAGGCAUAUGGGGGUGGAUCAUUUUUUUUCUAAAUUCGACAGUACAAAGAAGAAUUUAAUUGAUAACGGAAAAAAUAAGUUACAUAUAGAGCUGGAGCAUAUAAUAGACCCAAAUUGACCAUUUUUAGGCUCCACUGCUAAGAACUAUUGCAAAAUGCUCAUUAGGAUUACCCUGUGAACUCCGUCCUUCCACACCAAGCCUCCAAACUCAGUCCGAUAUGUUGCAGCUAGUUUAGAUACUUGUCCCCUGCAUGUUACAGAAUCACAAGAGCAAGCUUACAAAACUGCAGUUUUUACUCAUAGUUAUUGCAAAUGAAAAUACAGGUUGGUGCCAGCAAUUAUCAGUGUAAUUCUCUAUCCGACGGUAUUUCUCUCGCCUUCUCUUGAUAAUUUCGGAUGUGACAUGUUUAAGAUAACUCUUCCAAACACGUUGCUUAUGCCUAAUUUUUAAUACCACCAUAUCAUAUCAUAGUAAAUCCAAAUAACUAUCGAAUGGCAUUUAGGCAUCUAGAAUAUCAAAUGCAUUACUUUACAUUGAAAAUUCAUUUAUUCAAUAGCAUUAAUACACUAGUAAAAAAAACACUUUGCACGACGUAGGUCCUUCGUCGCGCAAAGUCAAAACAUGUCGCGCAAAACUUUGCCCAACGAACCUUCGUCACGCGCAAACCGUCGCAGCAAGGCAGUGACAUAAGGCUUUGCACGACGAAGGGUUACAUGCAUCGCGCAAAGCCACUUUGCGCGACGCAUGUAACCCUUCGUCGCGCAAAGCCAUUUUGUGUGAUGCAGGCUGCGUCGCUCAAAGUGGCGUCACGCGAAGAUGCUUUGCGCGACACAUGUCAUUGAGUUGCACAAAAUGACUUUGCGCAACGUAACCUACGUUGCGCAAAGUGUAUUUUUGGUUUUGGUCAAAAAUAUUAUUUUCUUAAUUUUUAAUAAUGUUGUAAUUAAAUUCUAAACAAUAAUUAAUUAACCAAAAAAAGUAUUUAAUUAUAAAAUAUAUGGAAAUGUACAUACAAGAUGUCCGAAUAAAAAAGAAAAAACUACAAGUAGUCUUCUAGGUGAAGUGGCUACUGGGUAUCAACAUGGUGAAGUGGCUUCUAGGUGAAGUAACAUUUCGAUGACGUGAAAAAGUUUCAAUUGGUCAUCUACAAGUGUCAAACCUAACACAUUUUACUUAAAAAAGAAAAAGGUAAUAACAUAACUCAAAACGAAAAGCAAAAGGGAAAAAAAAAAACUUUGCGCGACAUAAGUACAUAUGCAUCUCGCAAAGUUUUUUUUUCCCCCUAUUGCAGAUACAAAUAACAUCAUCCUUUUGCAAGAAUCAGUCUCUGCCCUCUCGCCCUCCCUCUCCCGCUCCCUCUCCUUCUCCUUCUCCCCUGUGUAGUUGUUGGUUGUGUUGUACGAAGUCGUCCCUCUCCCUCUCCCAUGUGUUGUUGUUCGUUGCACAAAGUAUUUUGCCCGAUGCAGGUGUACCUACGUCCCGUAAAGAUUUUUUUUUUUGCCCUUUUGCUUAUGAGUACAAAAUAAAUAAAUUAAAAUCUACUUACUAAAUCAACUAUGGAGCUUUUGACUUGUGUUAGAACACUGGAAAGAAAGACAAAAAGAGACAUUUUCAUGUUGACUUUGCACGACGCAUAGUACAUCAUGCGUCGCGCAAAGCUGUUUUGAGUGACGUAGUGUACCUGCGUCGUGCAAAGUUGGAAAAAAAACGGUAAAACAUUCUUGGUUUGGCCCCAAAAUCUUGCGCGGCGCACAAAACGUCGUGCAAGUGGUCUUUAUGCGACCAUACUUUGCGCAACGAAGGAGUGCGUCGCGCAAAACAGUUUUGAACGACAUAGAUGUACCUUCGUCGCGCAAAACAAUUUUGUGCGACCCACUCCUUCGUCGCACAAAGACCACUUGUGCGACAUCUUGUGUUUAGCGUUGCACAAAGUAUGUUUGCGCGACGAAAUUUGCUACGUCACGCAAACAUGUUUUUGUACUAGUGAUAACACACACAUUGAAUCUCCACUUGCCCACCCAAAAACUUCUUUGUAAACUAGAAAUAUAUUCCAAUCUCCCUAUUCACAUGAAGAGUGAGUUAGAGUGAUUGGAAAUAUCUUUGAUUACGUGUACGCACACCACAUAUGUGCCAUAUCCAACGGUAUUGCGGACAUAAAGCAAGCAAGUAAUGGUUGUUUGGCUUCUAAUCUGAUGUCACGGUAGUGACGGUACUACUUUGAAAUCUUUGAUGUAUAUGUUUUUAACUACAAACUACUAGAACUUCACAAAUUGCUUAAAUACAAGUUCAAGCAAUAAUAAGAAUAUUUCCAAUAGAACACCUUUCAUAGGGCCGGUCCAGAAAUUUUUGAGGCCCGGGACGACGUAAAAAAAAGUGCCCUAACUUCAUGUAAGAAAAUUAUUUAUUUUCACACGUAAGACAUCGAUAAAAUUAUACUUAGAAAAACACUUCAAACUUAAUAAUUUAAAAACACAUAAAGACUAAUUUAUUUUGUAUUGAGAGAGGGAAACAACAAAACUUCGGGCUUACAAGUAGAUAGAUGAUGAGUUUUGUUUUCCAUCUGAACUUUGAAUGUGUUUUUGAAUAAAUCAUGAGGUGUUUUUUUCUUAUUUACUAAUCUUGUCAAUAUGGGACUAUAAAAAAAUGAUGUUUUCGAGUCUUUAAUUGAUAUGUAUUAUUAAUGAAUUGGCACUAAAUUAAACAUUUUGAUGACAUGUCAUAUAAUUUGCAAAUUUGGUCUACGUAUUAUUCUUUGUUGAAGAUUAGACUUGAAUUAAAACGAAUAUUUAAAAAUAACAACCCACAUAUCUACUAGAUAGUAACUAAAAAUAAAUUAACAACCAAACAAAAAUUUGUAAAAAUUGAAAAGAAUAAACAUGCACAUAGCACUUCAAACAAAAAUCAUUGUUUCUAAGGGGGGUGUAUUCAAUUGAGAAUGUGAAAGAUUUUAAUGGAUUUAUAAAUCCAUGGAUUUUUAUGGAGUUUAAUUGAUUUGUAGAGAUUCCAUAUAAAAUUUUGAUUCAAUUCCUUCGAAAUCUCAUGGGAAGAGGUGAGAUUUGUGGAUACUUAAAAUACACUACGAAAUCUCUCCAAUUCCCUCUAAUUCUUUAACUUUCUCAAAUUCUUUAAAAUCAAUUUCUAAUUGAAUACACUUGGAAUGUUAUAAACUUCUUUAAAAUCUUAAUUGAAUACACCUGGAUUUCUAAGGAUUUUAAUAAACUAUUUUGAAAUUCUAAUUGAAUACACCUAGAAUUUCAGAGAAUCACUUAAAAUCCUAAUUGAAUACCCCUGGAAUUAUUAAUUCCCUGAAACUCUCUCAGAAUCCUAAUUGAAUACACCCCUCUAAGUAGACUUCUUGAUCCUUUUACCAAAUUUUAUAAAUUUAUUCUCUUAUGAAAAGAAAUUUGUAAAAAAUGAAAUGUAAAUAAGCACACAUGGUGUUUUGAACCCAAUACCUCCUCAUUAUUUUCAAAUGACAAACCACCACUUCUAGUUAAAUUUCUAUGUCUUUGAACCAAAUUUUAUAAAUUUAUACUCUUAUAAAAACAUACAUAAAUUGACACACCCCAUCCCGAAGGAGGGCAUGCUGGCCGUCACGUGAGAGUGACGUAACCAUUUGCACAGUACGGAAGCUUUAAGAUACAAUUUAUAAGUUGAUACACCCGAAGGUGAGUCCUAAUUUUGUCCAAUCUGUCAGAACACCGUCGAAUUCCUCGUAGUCACCACACCUUUGUGAUUCUUGAACCUGGAGGGGCGCAAAACCAAAAUUGAGUGGGUCAGUAAAACAAUUCUUUUCCAAAUCCAAACAUUUCUCAAAACGUUGUAACCCCUCUCCGUAAAACCUGUAUACUUUCCCAGAAAUGUAAAAUAUAAAUAUACAUAUAUAUUCUCAAAACUUCAUUUUUACUAUCUCAACAUUUUUCUUUAUCAAUCAUGCCAUGCCAUGUCUAAUUCAACAGUUAAAUAUGGAUGCAUCAACAAUAAUCAUAUCAGGUGCAAGAAAGUAAUCAACCGGAGGCCCUCUAAUAGCCCUGUACGGUUGAACCUAGAGCUCAAAAUCUAUCACUAUCACUCUACCGGAGUCACCUCUGUGACCCGUCCGGCCUUCUGCACACAAGUUAUGCUCUAGUGCUUUCUCAUCAAUCAUCUGUGCACAUAAUCUAAGGUCACCCACCAGUCGGAAUCUCACUAACACUCUCGCGACUGGCCUGUCGUACCCACUCCGCGUGGACUGUACGACUAGCAUCUACUUGGAUCCAAGGCGAGCGUGCGAUGCGGUGAAUACUAUAAGCACUAAACCAUUGGUGCAGGAUUUGAGCUCAAUAUAUAUCAACAUCAUCAUAACAGUAAUUAAAUACUCACCUGAUACUCACCUGUGCGUCCGCCGCACCAUUCAUUCAUAUGCAUCAUAUCUCAAUUCAUACUUUUCAUAUCAUUUCAUGCAUGGCAAUUCGAUUCACAUUUCUAUAUACUUUUCAUAUACUUUUAUGCAUGGCAUUUCAACUAAUAUAUCUCAUAUACUUUUAUACAUUUUCAUUAAAAACAUAAUUUCAUGCAUUUUCAAUUUCUGGGAAACGGCAAGUAUAUAUGUAUACGGAAAACAAAACUGCCCACUCACCUGGAGUUCGCCCUACAACUCCCUAGCACAAUACGCCAAGGCGUCAUGACGAUCGGCGCCUAAAAACAAUAAUUAAUUCCAACCUCAGAAUUCAUAGUGAUAGAAUAUAUAACUUAUAUAAAAUACGUCACUACGUAGUUCGAUCCGGAAGAUCUGCCACUCAGAUUUUAAAUCCAUAACUUCCAGAGGUCCACAAUAUACCUCUAGGACAACUUCCUAAAAUUUCAUUACCAUCCAACGGUCGGAUCUCCGUCAAUUUCCAAAACUAAGUGACGGUUAACAUUUUAUUUUAUGAACUUACAAUUCCAAUUCCGGAAGAUCCGUAACUCGGAUUCCCAAUCCGUAAGUUCCAAUAAUCCUCAAAUAUUACGUAUUACAACGUAUCAAAGUUUGGUAACGAUCCAACGGUCGGAUCGUCAAUUCACAUUUUCACCAAAACUAUAAAACGUUAUUCGAACACCUAACCAACAAUCCUUAAUAACUUUCUCAUACGGUGCUCAAAUUGGGUAUAUGAAUAUACCACGGUGAUCUACUCGACGUCACGGACGUCGACAUAUUUUUAAAAUAAUUUUAUUUAUUUAUUUUUUUUAACUGUAGCACCUUCUUCUUCCUUGGGUCGCCGGACUGGUUUUUCCGGCGGCCGUUUUCCGGGCAGUUUUUCAAAUUGUCAUAACUUUGUCAUUUCUCAACGAAAUCAAGUGAUUCAAAAACGAAAGUUGUAGCCCUUGAAGAGACAAAGAGAAUGGUACCUUGCACAACACCUAGUUCGCCGUGGUUUGGCCGGAAACUGCCUCGAAAGCCUCGGAGGUCGCCGGAAACUGGGUAUUUUUCAAAUGAGUAUAACUUCUUCAAUACUCAACGAAAUUGAGUGAAACAAAAAGGAAAGUUGUAGUACUUGACGAGACGAAGAGAUUGAUACCUACCUCGACUCCUAACUCGCCGGGGAUUCGCCGGAAAAUGCCUCGAAGCUCCGGCCAAACUUUGAACUUGUCGAUCUCCGUGUUCUUACGUCCAAAAACUUCCAACGAAGCACUCCGAGCUUCCUUGGAACCUCACUAAGCUCACUGUGAGCUUGGAUUGUCCUAAAACAAAGUCAAUUCGAAGAUCAUGAACAGUGCACUUUCACGGGGAGUUUAGAAUCUAGGUUUUUCCGAAGUAAAACUUACCUGAAAUUGGUGUCUACGUGAUCGUGGAGUCUCCAGGAGUUCGAUGGUGGUCUUAACUCCGUCGUUGGUAUAGAUUUAGGGUGGUUUUGGAGCUCGUCUGUGUGAGUUUGAAGGAGAGGGAGAGAGACAGAGAAUGAGAGAUUGUGAGGGAGGAGAGAGAGACAGGGUACGGGAAAUAGGGAGGGAUUUGAGGUGUGUGGUCCUACCUAACCCCAAAUCAUAAAAUUCCAUCUCCAAAUAACUUAGAAACAUAUAUUUCACCAAUAUAUGAUUCACAUAUCUUAAUCACGUUUAAGGGAAAUUCCGUCAAUUUACAAUCACGAGUGUAAAACUUUGGGACGGGCUGUGACA
rnacentral:lncRNA from 1 species